rnacentral:lncRNA from 1 species
CUAGAGAGGGCACAUGUGCCCUAAUUGGCCUAGAGCAUAGUGGCUCAUUUUCCUUCCACUGCUGGUGGCGGGCGGUUCUCGCUGCUCUGUGAAGCUAGCCUCACGCAAUUUCCGCCACUUUAGGUGUUGGGAUGCAAAGGCUUUCGCCAAGGCACCCGAAACCCACUACACAACUUGGAAUAGGUGGUCCACAGUUUGUAGCACUAGACCUAGGCACAUAAACCACAAUUGACAUCCACACUACCUUAUUUCCCCCGCUCGGGUUACAAGCAAUCGCUACUUGCUCAGCGAGUGAGGGGGUUCAGGACUGCCUAUUUAAGGUGGUGUUGUACUCUAUGAGCCAACGGUGUGGUAUCAACAACAAAUAGUGUCAUGCAUGUGAGUUGCUAGUUGGCAAAGUCUGUUGUCGAGCUAGUUGUGGGCUAUGGCUGAAGCACAUGAGGAUAGAGUAGGCCUAUUUUGUUUUUUGUUGUUUUUGGUCCAUUAUGGACUUUAUGUUGAUGUUUUGAAAUUUUUUCAUGUGUUUUCUCUUGCCUAUGAAGUGGAAAUUAUAUGCGUCAGAGAAGAAAGAAAGAGUGCCUAGCAUUGAUUUUACGUCAUCCCCUUGAGAAUAGUAAUCAAAAGCAGAAGCAACAAUAUUUAAUACAUAUACAACACUGAGAGCACCUAGAGGGGGGGGGUGAAUAGGUGAUCCUGUAAAACUUCAAAACUUAAGCCACAAAAACUUGUUAAGUGUUAGCACAAUUGUGGCCAAGUGGCUAGAGAGGAGUCAAAACACAAUAACCACAAGAAAUCAAUCACAGAGAUGACACGGUGGUUAUCCCGUGGUUCGGCCAAGUACAAAACUUGCCUACUCCACGUUGUGGCGUCCCAACGGACGAGAGUUGCACUCAACUCCUCUCAAGUGAUCCAAUGAUCAACUUGAAUACCACGGUGUUCUUGCUUUUCUUUUCUCAAUCCCGUUUGCGAGGAAUCUCCACAACUUGGAGCCUCUCGCCCUUACAAAAGAUGUUCACAGAGAAUCACGGAGCAAGGGAGGGAAUGAGCAACGCACACAAGACUUCAAAAGAUCAGAGCAACACGCACACAAGCAGCAAUAAGAGCUCGCAACACAACUCAAAGAGUACACAACUCCACAAGAGCUCUAUAUGCUACCACAAUGAAUCGAAUGCGCUAGAUCAAUGUCUUGGUGCUUAGAAAGGUUGUAGGAAUGCUUGGUGUACUCCUCCAUGCGCCUAGGGGUCCCUUUUAUAGCCCCAAGGCAGCUAGGAGCCGUUGAGAACACAACUGGAAGGCUAUCCUUGCCUUCUGUCGUCGGGCGCACCGGACAGUCCGGUGCACACCGGACACUGUCCGGUGCCCGAUUUGUUUCCAUACAAAGCUCAUCCGACCGUUGCUUUCUGAUGCAGAUCUGCGCACAGUUGGCGCACCGGACAGUCCGGUGCACACCGGACAGUCCGGUGCCUCCUUCCGACCGUUGGCCAGACCACAUGUCACGCGCAGAAUCCGUGGCCGACCGUUGGCCCUGGCCGACCGUUGGCUCACCGGACAGUCCGGUGCACACCGGACAGUCCGGUGAAUUUUAGCCGUACGCCGUCGGCGAAUUCCCGAGAGCGGCCUCUUCGGCCGAGGCAGCCUGGCGCACCGGACACUGUCCGGUGCACCACCGGACAGUCCGGUGCCCCAGACCGAACCAGCCUGUUGGCUGUACACAGCUAACCUUCUCCUUUUCUUCUUCUCUCUAUUUCUAACACUUAGACAAAUAUAUUAGUACACAAAACCAAUGUACUAAGACUUAGAAACAUACCUUUGCUCUUGAUUUUCACUUUGUUCACCCAUGGACAUAGAUUCACAUUUAAACACUUGUGUUGGCAUCUAAUCACCAAAAUACUUAGAAAUGGCCCAAAGGCACAUUUCCCUUUCAAUCUCCCCCUUUUUGGUGAUUUAUGCCAACACAACAUAAAGCAACUAGAACAAGUGCAAAAUCACUUCAAAUAAAAACUAACUUUGAGUUUUAUUCAAUUUUGGCAUAUAUGGAUCAUUCUUUGCCACCACUUGGUUUGUUUUUGCAAAUCAAGCUCAAAUCUCUAUCUCUAAGUCAAACACACAUGUUGAAGCAUAAAGAGAGUCAUUCCAAAAGAGAUUGAUCAAAGAUUUCAAAAACUCCCCCCCUAUUUCCCAUAAUCAAUACUUCUUCCCACAAGAAGCCAACUUUUGACAAGAGAGACAAUAAUAGACAAUAAAAGCGUUUGACAAAACAAAAACUCUAUUCUACUAUUUUCAAAAUCUCUCAAGUGGUAGCUGAUCCAUUUAUAUCGCUUUGGCCUUUAUUUUCUCCCCCUUUGGCAUCAAGCACCAAAACGGGAUCAAUCUUGGCCCUAGAACCCCAUUGCCUCACCAAAAUUUUCAAUGAAGAGCAAAUGGCAAUAAGAGUUCAUGAGAUGAACUUGGAAGUAAUUACCCUCUCAUCGGAGUGCAGUGGAAGUCUUUCAUGGUCCAAGUCCACCUUUUCCCUUUCAAUUCUCCUUCGAGACUAAAUCAAGCAAACUCAAGCAUAUGGUUAGUCUCAAAGGGUCAAGUUGUAACACAUCUCCCCCUAAACAUGUGCAUCACUUUGCAACGGACUUGUGAGGUCCAGGGAGUGUUUGUACAACUUGAGCACCACAGUAAGCAACAAAAUGCAGAAUGAACAUGAUCAAAGGCAUAAACACAUGUAUGCUACAAUUCAAUCCAAGUUCCGCGAAUCUAAGACAUUUAGCUCACUACGCAACCUGCAAAAGGUCUUCUCAUCUAGAGGCUUAGUGAAGAUAUCGGCUAGCUGGUUCUCGGUGCUAACAUGAAACACUUCGAUAUCUCCCUUUUGCUGGUGGUCUCUCAAAAAGUGAUGCCGGAUGUCUAUGUGCUUUGUGCGGCUGUGCUCAACAGGAUUCUCCGCCAUGCGGAUCGCACUCUCAUUAUCACAUAGGAGUGGGACUUUGCUCAGAUUGUAGCCAAAGUCCCUGAGGGUUUGCCUCAUCCAAAGUAGUUGCGCGCAACACUGUCCUGCGGCAACAUACUCGGCCUCAGCGGUGGAUAGGGCAACAGAAGUUUGUUUCUUAGAGUUCCAUGACACCAGGGACCUUCCUAAGAAUUGGCACGUCCCCGAUGUACUCUUCCUAUCGACCUUACAUCCAGCAUAAUCGGAGUGUGAGUAUCCAACCAAGUCAAAGGUAGACCCCUUUGGAUACCAGAGCCCGAAGCAAGGCGUAGCAACCAAAUAUCUAAGAAUCCGCUUCACCGCCACUAAGUGACACUCCUUAGGAUCGGAUUGAAAUCUAGCACACAUGCAUACGCUAAGCAUAAUGUCCGGUCUACUAGCACAUAAAUAAAGCAAAGAACCUAUCAUUGACCGGUAUGCUUUUUGAUCAACGGACUUACCUCCUUUGUUGAGGUCGGUGUGUCCGUCGGUUCCCAUCGGCGUCUUUGCGGGCUUGGCGUCCUUCAUCCCAAACCGCUUUAGUAGAUCUUGCGUGUACUUCGUUUGGGAGAUGAAGGUGCCGUCCUUGAGUUGCUUCACUUGGAACCCAAGGAAGUAGUUCAACUCGCCCAUCAUCGACAUCUCGAAUUUCUGCGUCAUCACCCUGCUAAACUCUUCACAAGACUUUUGGUUAGUUGAACCAAAUAUUAUGUCGUCGACAUAAAUUUGGCACACAAACAAAUCACCAUCACAUGUCUUUGUAAAAAGAGUUGGAUCGGCUUUCCCAACCUUGAAAGCAUUAGCUAUUAAAAAGUUUCUAAGGCAUUCAUACCAUGCUCUUGGGGCUUGCUUAAGUCCAUAGAGCGCCUUAGAGAGCUUACACACAUGGUCGGGGUACCGUUCAUCCUCGAAGCCAGGGGGUUGCUCUACGUACACCUCCUCCUUGAUUGGCCCGUUGAGGAAAGCGCUCUUCACAUCCAUUUGGUACAACCUGAAAGAAUGGUGAGCGGCAUAUGCUAGCAAGAUACGAAUGGACUCUAGCCUAGCCACAGGAGCGAAAGUCUCCUCAAAGUCCAAACCUGCGACUUGGGCAUAACCUUUUGCCACAAGUCGAGCCUUGUUCCUCGUCACCACCCCGUGCUCGUCCUGUUUGUUGCGGAACACCCACUUGGUUCCCACAACAUUUUGCUUCGGACGAGGCACCAGUGUCCAAACUUCAUUGCGCUUGAAGUUGUUGAGCUCCUCCUGCAUGGCCAAUACCCAAUCCGGAUCUAGCAAGGCCUCCUCUACCCUGAAAGGUUCAAUAGAAGAGACAAAAGAGUAAUGCUCACAAAAAUUAACUAAUCUAGAUCGAGUAGUUACUCCCUUGCUGAUAUCACCCAGAAUUUGGUCGACGGGAUGAUCCCUUUGAAUCAUCGCUCGAACUUGGGUUGGAGGUGCCGGUUGCGCUUCUUCCUCCAUUACUUGAUCAUCUUGUGCUCCCCUUGAUCAAGCGCCUCCACUUGAGGUACCUGUUCGUCAUCUUCGGUUUGGGGAUGCACCAUAGUUGAGGAAGAAGGUUGAUCUCGUUCAUCUUGUUCCUGUGGCCGCACUUCUCCAAUCGUCAUGGUUCGAAUAGCAGCCGCUGGAACAUCUUCUUCAUCUACAUCAUCACAAUCAACAACUUGCUCUCCUGGAGAGCCAUUAGUCUCAUCAAAUACAACGUCGCUAGAGACUUCAACCAAACCCGAUGAUUUGUUGAAGACUCUAUACGCCUUUGUAUUUGAGUCAUAACCUAACAAAAACCCUUCUACAGCUUUGGGAGCAAACUUAGAAUUUCUACCUUUCUUCACUAGAAUGUAGCACUUGCUCCCAAAUACACGAAAGUACGAUACAUUGGGUUUGUUACCGGUUAGUAGCUCAUACGAUGUCUUCUUGAGGAGGCGAUGAAGGUAGACCCUGUUGAUGGCGUGGCAAGCAGUGUUAACGGCUUCCGUCCAAAAGCACUCGGGGGUCUUGAACUCUCCUAGCAUCGUCCUCGCCAUAUCGAUGAGCGUCCUGUUCUUCCUCUCUACCACACCAUUUUGCUGUGGUGUGUAGGGAGCGGAGAACUCGUGCUUGAUCCCUUCCUCUUCAAGGAACUCCUCCACUUGAAGGUUCUUGAACUCGGAUCCGUUGUCGCUCCUUAUCUUCUUUACUUUGAGCUCAAACUCAUUUUGAGCUCUCCUGAGGAAGCGUUUGAGGGUCCCUUGGGUUUCGGACUUUUCCUGCAAAAAGAACACCCAAGUGAAGCGGGAAAAGUCGUCAACAAUAACUAAACCAUACUUACUUCCUCCUAUGCUCAGAUAGGCGACGGGUCCAAAAAGGUCCAUAUGCAGCAUCUCCAAGGGUCUUGAUGUCGUCAUCACAUUUUUGGUGUGAUGAGAGCCUCCCACCUGUUUCCCUGCUUGACAAGCUGCACAAGGUCUAUCUUUUUCGAAUUGAACAUUAGUUAGACCUAUCACGUGUUCUCCCUUUAGAAGCUUGUGAAGGUUCUUCAUCCCCACAUGUGCUAAGCGGCGAUGCCACAGCCAGCCCAUGCUAGUCUUAGCUAUUAAGCAUGCAUCUAGACCGGCCUCUUCUUUUGCAAAAUCAACUAAAUAAAGUUUGCCGUCUAAUACACCCUUAAAAGCUAGUGAACCAUCACUUCUUCUAAAGACAGACACAUCUACAUUUGUAAAUAGACAGUUAUAUCCCAUAUUGCAUAAUUGACUCACAGAUAGCAGAUUAUAUCCAAGAGACUCAACUAAAAACACAUUAGAUAUGGAGUGCUCAUUAGAAAUUGCAAUUUUACCUAAACCUUUUACCUUGCCUUGAUUCCCAUCACCGAAUAUAAUUGAAUCUUGGGAAUCUUUAUUCUUGACGUAGGAGGUGAACAUCUUCUUCUCCCCCGUCAUAUGGUUUGUGCAUCCGCUGUCGAUAAUCCAGCUUGAACCCCCGGAUGCAUAAACCUGUAAGGCAAAUUUAGGCUUGGGACUUAGGUACCCAACUCUUGUUGGGUCCUACAAGGUUAGUCACAAUUUCCUUAGGGACCCAAAUGCAAGUUUUAUCACCUUUGCAUUUUGCCCCUAACUUCCUAGCAAUUACUUUUCUAUCCUUUCUACAAAUUGCAAAUGAAGCAUUUAAAGCACAAUAAAUUGUAGAGGGUUCAUUCACUACUUUUCUAUGAACAUUUGCAACAUUUCUUUUAGGAACAACAUUUCUCCUAGUAACAUUUCUAUCAUACACAUAAGAGGAACUAGGAGCAAACAUGGCAUGAGAAUCAUAAACAUAUGAAUCAAAAGCAUCAUAACUUCUAUUUCUAGUUUGUCUUUUAUCAUGAUACAAAAAGGCAUGGUUCCUUUUAGCACUAGUAGCCAUAGGGGCCUUCCCUUUCUCCUUGGCGGGAAUGGGAGCCUUAUGGCUUGUUAAGUUCUUGGCUUCCCUCUUGAAGCCAAGUCCAUCCUUAAUUGAGGGGUGUCUACCAACCGUGUAGGCAUCCCUAGCAAAUUUUAGUUUUUCAAAAUCACUUUUGCUAGUCUUAAGUUGAGCAUUAAGACUAGCCACUUCAUUAUUUAACUUUGCAAUAGAAGCUAUGUGUUCACUACAAGCAUCAAUAUCAAAGUCUUUACAUCUAUUGCAAAUAACAACAUUUUCUACACAAGUUGUUGAUUUACUAGCUAUUUCUAUCUUAACAUUCAACUCAUCGUUAAUGCUCUUUAAUUUAGAAAUUGUUUCAUGGCAUGAAGAUAAUUCACAAGUAAGCAUCUCAUUUCUUUUAACUUCUAGAGCAUGAGAUUUUUGAGCUUCUAAAAAUUUAUCAUGCUCUUCAUACAAUAAAUCCUCUUGUUUCUCUAAGAGUUUAUCCUUCUCAUUCAAUGCAUCAAUUAAUUCAUUAAUUUUGCCAAUUGUAAUUCUAUCUAGACCUUUAAAUAAACUAGAAUAGUCUAUUUCAUCAUCGUCACUAGAAUCAUUAUCACUAGAAGAAGCAUAAGUAGAGUUUCGAGUACUUACUUUCUUCUCCUUAGCCAUGAGACACGUGUGACGCUCGUUGGGGAAGAGGGCCGAUUUGUUGAAGGCGGUGGCGGCGAGUCCCUCAUUGUCGGAGUCGGAGGAGGAGCAAUCCGAAUCCCACUCCUUGCCGAGAUGCGCCUCGCCCUUGGCCUUCUUGUAAUUUUUCUUCUUUUCCCUCUUGUUUCCCUGUUCCUGGUCACUGUCGUUAUCGGGGCAGUUAGCGAUAAAAUGACCAAUCUUACCGCACUUGAAGCAUGAGCGCUUUCCCUUUGUCUUGUUCUUGCUUGGCUGCCCCUUGUGACCCUUCAGCACCGUCUUGAAUCUUUUGAUGAUAAGAGCCAUCUCUUCAUCAUUGAGCCCGGCCGCCUCAACUUGCGCCACCUUGCUAGGUAGCGACUCCUUGCUCCUUGUUGCCUUUAGAGCAAUGGGUUGAGACUCGUGGAGUGGACCGUUCAACGCGUCGUCGACGUAUCUUGCCUCCUUGAUCAUCAUCCGCCCGCUCACGAAUUUUCCAAGUACUUCUUCGGGCGUCAUCAUCGUGUACCUGGGAUUCUCACGAAUAUUGUUCACGAGAUGAGGAUCAAGAACGGUAAAUGACCUGAGCAUUAGGCGGACGACGUCGUGAUCCGUCCAACGCGUGCUUCCGUAGCUCCUUAUCUUGUUGAUAAGGGUCUUGAGCCGGUUGUAAGUUUGAGUUGGCUCUUCUCCCCUUAUCAUGGCGAAUCGUCCAAGCUCGCCCUCCACCAACUCCAUUUUGGUGAGCAUGGUGAUGUCGUUCCCCUCGUGAGAGAUCUUGAGGGUGUCCCAUAUCUGCUUGGCAUUGUCCAAGCCGCUCACCUUAUUGUACUCUUCCCUGCACAAAGAUGCUAAGAGAACAGUAGUAGCUUGUGCAUUUUUAUGAAUUUGUUCAUUGAUAAACAUAGGGCUAUCCGAGCUAUCAAAUUUCAUUCCAUUCUCUACAAUCUCCCAUAUGCUUGGAUGGAGAGAGAAUAAAUGACUACGCAUUUUGUGACUCCAAAAUCCGUAGUCCUCCCCAUCAAAGUGUGGAGGUUUACCAAGAGGAAUGGAAAGCAAAUGCGAAUUCGAACUAUGUGGAAUACGAGAAUAAUCAAAUGAAAAGUUCGAAUUGACCGUCUUCCUGUAGUCGUUGUCGUCGUCCUUUUGGGAAGAAGAGGACUCAUCGCUGUCGUAGUAGACGAUCUCCUUGAUGCGUCUUGUCUUCUUCUUCUUCCCAUCUUUUCGCUUGUGGCCCGAGCCCGAGUUGUUGGACUUGUCAUCCCUUGGCUCGUUGACGAAAGACUCCUUCUCCUUGUCGUUGAUCACAAUUCCCUUCCCCUUAGGAUCCAUCUCUUCGGGCGGUUAGUCCCUUUCUUGAAGAGAACGGCUCUGAUACCAAUUGAGAGCACCUAGAGGGGGGGGGGGUGAAUAGGUGAUCCUGUAAAACUUCAAAACUUAAGCCACAAAAACUUGUUAAGUGUUAGCACAAUUGUGGCCAAGUGGCUAGAGAGGAGUCAAAACACAAUAACCACAAGAAAUCAAUCACAGAGAUGACACGGUGGUUAUCCCGUGGUUCGGCCAAGUACAAAACUUGCCUACUCCACGUUGUGGCGUCCCAACGGACGAGAGUUGCACUCAACUCCUCUCAAGUGAUCCAAUGAUCAACUUGAAUACCACGGUGUUCUUGCUUUUCUUUUCUCAAUCCCGUUUGCGAGGAAUCUCCACAACUUGGAGCCUCUCGCCCUUACAAAAGAUGUUCACAGAGAAUCACGGAGCAAGGGAGGGAAUGAGCAACGCACACAAGACUUCAAAAGAUCAGAGCAACACGCACACAAGCAGCAAUGAGAGCUCGCAACACAACUCAAAGAGUACACAACUCCACAAGAGCUCUAUAUGCUAUCACAAUGAAUCGAAUGCGCUAGAUCAAUGUCUUGGUGCUUAGAAAGGUUGUAGGAAUGCUUGGUGUACUCCUCCAUGCGCCUAGGGGUCCCUUUUAUAGCCCCAAGGCAGCUAGGAGCCGUUGAGAACACAACUGGAAGGCUAUCCUUGCCUUCUGUCGUCGGGCGCACCGGACAGUCCGGUGCACACCGGACACUGUCCGGUGCCCGAUUUGUUUCCAUACAAAGCUCAUCCGACCGUUGCUUUCUGAUGCAGAUCUGCGCACAGUUGGCGCACCGGACAGUCCGGUGCACACCGGACAGUCCGGUGCCUCCUUCCGACCGUUGGCCAGACCACAUGUCACGCACAGAAUCCGUGGCCGACCGUUGGCCCUGGCCGACCGUUGGCUCACCGGACAGUCCGGUGCACACCGGACAGUCCGGUGAAUUUUAGCCGUACGCCGUCGGCGAAUUCCCGAGAGCGGCCUCUUCGGCCGAGGCAGCCUGGCGCACCGGACACUGUCCGGUGCACCACCGGACACUGUCCGGUGCACCAGACCGAACCAGCCUGUUGGCUGUACACAGCUAACCUUCUCCUUUUCUUCUUCUCUCUGUUUCUAACACUUAGACAAAUAUAUUAGUACACAAAACCAAUGUACUAAGACUUAGAAACAUACCUUUGCUCUUGAUUUUCACUUUGUUCACCCAUGGACAUAGAUUCACAUUUAAACACAAUGUUGGCAUCUAAUCACCAAAAUACUUAGAAAUGGCCCAAAGGCACAUUUCCCUUUCAAACACUUGUAAUCCAUAUAAACAACUGUCCUUCAAAAAAUAACAUAAACCACAUGAUUUAUAUCCUGGGCCGGUUAUCUCCACAAAGGGCAAGAAAAUGCUCAUAGGUUUGUAGUAUAGAACUAAGAGUGUCUACUUGUCGGCGUUCCGAGACCGGGGGGGUCCCAGAGCCGACGAGUGAAUGUCGCCGCGUGCCCCAGCCCAGAUGGGUCGAGCGCGAGGCCGAGCGCGAAGGGGGGAGAGCGAGGCGGCCGGAGACCGGCGUGAGAGAGGUGGGAAUCCCGCGGCCUUCGUGUUUGUCCCGCGCCCAGGUCGGGUGCGCUUGCAGUAGGGGGUUACAAGCGUCCACGCGGGAGAGGGAGCGAGCGGCUUCAAGCGAGCGCGUACCUCGUCCUCGUCCCCGCGCGGCCAACCCUCCCUAAGAGGGCCCUGGUCCUUCCUUUUAUAGGCGUAAGGAGAGGAUCCAGGUAUACAAUGGAGGGUGUAGCAGAGUGCUACGUGUCUAGCGGAGGAGAGCUAGCGCCCUAAGUACAUGCCAUUGUGGCAGCCGAAGAGAUUUUGGCACCCAACUGGUGUGAUGUCGUGGCCGUCGGAGGAGCGAUGGAGCCUGGCGGAGGGACAGCUGUUGGAGCGGUUGAGUCCUUGCUGACGUCCUCUUGCUUCCAUAAGGGGGCUGAGAGCCGCCGUCGUCACAUAGUAUGCAGGGCGCCAUCAUUGCCUAUCUGGUGGAGCGAGCCAGAUGGGACGCCGAUCUUGUUCCCUGCGGCCCGAGUCAGCUCGGGGUAGGGUGAUGAUGGCGCCUCCUGUUGACGUGACUGGUCUGCGCCCUAGGUUGGGCGAUGUGGAAGCUCCUCCGAAGCCGAGGUCGAGUCUGUCUUCCGUAGCCGAGGUUGAGUCCGAGCCCCCGGGUCGGGCGAGGCGGAGAUCGCCGGCUGAUGCCGGGGCGGAGUCCGAGCCCUGGGGUCGGGCGAAGUGGAGUUCGUCGUCUUCUGGGGCUGAGCCCAAGUCCGAGCCCUGGGUCGGGCGGAGCGGAGUUCGCCGUCUUCCAGGACUUAGCCCGAGUCCGAGCCCUGGGUCGGGUGGAGCGGAGUUCGCCGUCUUCCGGGACUUAGCCCGAGUCCGAGCCCUGGGUCGGGUGGAGCGGAGGUCGCCGUCUUCCGGGACUUAGCCCGUGUCCGAGCCCUGGGUCGGGCGGAGCAGAGUUCGCCGUCUUCCGGGACUUAGCCCGAGUCCGAGCCCUGGGUCGGGCGGAGCGGAGUUCGCCGUCUUCCGGGACUUAGCCCGUGUCCGAGCCCUGGGUCGGGCGGAGCAGAGUUCGUCGUCUUCCGGGACUUAGCCCGUGUCCGAGCCCUGGGUCGGGCGAAGCGGAGCUUCCUAUGGUGCCUUCGACCGGGCCUGACUGCCUGUCAGCCUCACUCUGUUGAGUGGCACCGCAGUCGGAGCGGCGCAGGCGGCGCUGUCUUUCUGUCAGGCUGGUCAGUGGAGCGGCGAAGUGACGACGGUCACUUCGGCUCUGGGGGGCGCGCGUCAGGAUAAAGGUGUCAGGCCGCCUUUGCAUUAAAUGCUCCUGCGACUUGGUCGGUCGGUGCGGCGAUUUGGUCAGGGUUGCUUCUUAGCGAAGACAGGGCCUCGGGCGAGCCGGGAACACAUUCGCCGUUGGAGGGGGGCCUCGGGCGAGACGGAGAUCCUCCGGGGUCGGCUGCCCUUGUCCGAGGCUAGGCUCGGGCGAGGCGUGAUCGGGUCCCUCGUAUGGACCGAUCCCUGACUUAAUCGCACCCAUCAGGCCUUUGCAGCUUUAUGCUGAUGGGGGUUACCAGCUGAGAAUUAGGAGCCUUGAGGGUACCCCUAAUUAUGGUCCCCGACAGUAGCCCCCGAGCCUCAAAGGGAGUGUUAGCACUCGCUUGGAGGCUUUCGUCGCACUUUUUUGCAAGGGGACCAGCCUUUCUCGGUUGCGUUUUGUUCCGGUGGGUGCGCGCGAGCGCACCCGCCGGGUGUAGCCCCCGAGGCCUCGGAGGAGUGGUUUCACUCCUCCGAGGUCUUAAUGCCUCGCGUAAUGCUUCGGCUGGUCUGGUCGUUCCCUCAUGCGAGCUGGCCGUAGCCCGGGUGUACGGUCGGGUCCCAAGUUCUCGGGCUGGUAUGUUGACGCUGUCAACGGUUCAGCCGGAGCCGGGUUUGCGAGAGCAGCCCCCGAGCCUCUGCACAGGGCGAGAGGGCGAUCAGGGACAGACCCGGCUUUUUUACAUACGCCCCUGCGUCGCCUUUCCGCAAGGAGGAGGGGGGAAAGCGCCAUGUUGCCCUCGAUGGGCGCCGAACAUGGUGUCUCCGGUGAGCUGCAAGCGGGUAAUCCGAGUGGACGUCCGUGCCCCGUUCGUUAGGGGUCGGCUAGGGGCCCAGAGGCACACCCAAAAGUACCUGCGGGUGAUCUGCCGGACCCGGUCCCUUGGCGAUGGGGUCCGAGGGCUCGAUGCCUCCCUCUGAUGGGAUUCCGUUACAAGAUCGUUCCCGCUGGUCUCGGAAAUGUCCUAGGGUACCUCGGGAGCGCAGCCCGAGCCUUGGUUAUGUAUCGAACGUACCCAUGGUCAUCCCUCGCUCGGCGUCUGAGGCGGCUGUGAACCCUUCGGGGGCCAGCCUUCGAACCCCUGAUCAGUAGUGGGCGCGGAGCCCGAGUAGCCUGAGGCGGCUGUGGAACCCUUCCGAGGGGCCAGCCUUCGAACCUCUGACCAGUAGUGGGUGUAGGGCCCACGCGAUCUGAGGCGGCUGUCGAACCCUUCCGAGGGGCCAGCCUUCGAACCUCUGAUCAGUAGGGGGGCUCAGAGCCUGGUUCCUUCUCGGGGAAGGAUCCUUUUCGGGGUAUCCCCCUUUCCCGGUCCCUAUUGCAAGAGAGAGAAAGAGGAAAAAAGGAAAAAGAUACGAAAUCGAACAACGCGGCGUACCUUUUUUGACGUGGUCAUUAUGGCGAAGGCGAAGCGUCGCCCGCUUCUCCUGCCAGAGGCGCCGCCUGUCCCGCCGCGGAGUUAAUGCGACGGGGCGAGUGGUUGGCGGGGUGGUCGUUGUGCGUGCACGAGCCGUUCGAGGAACGGAUCACGGGCGCGUUGUCUUCACGUCGUGAGAGAGGGUUCUCUCGCUGCCCCCGGACGGGACGUGAGCUUGGCUGACGACGUGGCCGCUGCUCCUGCCCGCCUGCCACCGCCAUUACUGCUGGCCCACUUUUGGCCGCAUUGACCGUCGCGCCAGGCUGGCGUUGCUGGGUCGCGCGCUGGGUUGCCUCGAGUCGCGGUGUUGGUUCCGCAGUCGAGGAGGCGCGGUAGUGGCGCAAGUGGCGGUGCAGUUGCAUGCACGAAGCAUUUGGCGCGCCGGUUGCAUGACGCGUGGGCCUGGGCCUCCAUGCUGGGCGUGUUGGGAGUCGGAGAAGAGCGCCCACUUGGCGCGGUUGCAUGCCGCCUGCAUGGUUGCCCGCCCCUUUCGCCCGUUGGUCUGGGCAAAAGUGGAGAGUCACUUGUAACCGCUGGGCGGUUGUACGCACCGCGCACGGCGGUUUGGCUUCUUCCGCUCUGAGCCGGCUUGCAUGACGUGUGGGACCCAGCCCCCGCGCCGUAGGGGAGGACCUUGGAGUGUGUUGGAGAAGACUCAGCCCGUGACGGCUGGGGACGCAAGUAGGGAGAGCCGCCUUUAAAAGGAGGGUGACCCCCUUGGGAGGCGACCAUGUCUUCGCGCUCCCUUAUGCAUCGUGUCUUUCCACCUUCCAAACCCCCGGAUGGGGGAUAUCCGCCGUCUUUCCGCCUCGUCGUUGGAGGACGCAACUCCGUGGGAGUGGGUACCUUUCAGCCAUCGUUCGGCUUCAAGGAUUUUCAUCAUGCAGCCCGGCUGCACCCCUCCGCCGGCGGUCACCCAAGAUGGUGACCUCCAGUUUGAUGGUGGGGGAAAGCGAGCCGGGCUACGACCUCUGCCCCUCCCUCAGCCUCAAGGAUUUUCAUCACCAGGGCUGGGGAGGGGAGUGAGCCGAGUUGGGGUCGUCCCCUGCGUGGGCGGUGGCCCGCUCCUUCCCUCAGUGAUCGGAGGGAAAGGGGCGGUCGUCGUCCGUGGCGCUGGCAGCUGCAGCGUGCCUGGCUCUCGGACGCGAGUGGCUUCGGAGCCGCUCCCGGCGCCGGCGUCUGCCACGGCAGCUGGAAGAGGUUCUUCCGCCGACGAGAUAGCCAGGGCCGCCCACGGACCGACCUCCAACUCUACGGCCUUCUGCCUGUCCUUGCCUCACGAGUUUGGGCAUGGGCGGGGCCUCUUGGCAGCAGCAUCCGCCCUGAGGUCAGCGCUGCCGCUGUUCGGCCCCUCGGAGCAGAAGUCGUCGUCAUCGCUGCUGCUGGAGCAGGCGACAGCGCGCCGUUUGUCGGUCUUCUGUUGCUCCACAGGCCCCCCCAUUGAGUGGGGUUGUUCGUACCUGCGGAGGUGGAACCGGAGUUCCGUUUGUAAUGGCACUUUGAAUGCCAGUGUUUUUGUUCAUUGUGGCUGUCGGGGCCUGAACAUGUAUGUAAUUUUGGCACGGAGCCGUGUUUUUCCUCAUUUUCGAGCACUAAGACUCGCCUGUUGGUUGUCUGAAUCGCUUCACCAAGCGUGAGUCGCCCCGUGUAAAGGUGACGAGUGAGGUAUCCGUAUCCCGGAGGCGUAGGAGUCCCUCGGCUCGGUCGGCCUUGUUGUCCGAGGCUUCUCUAGCUUAGUUAAAGGAACCCCUCGGCCGCUCUUCGAUGAGCCGAGGCCAGGGGUAGCGGUAUCAGCAUGAACAGGGGCAGAGUUGGCUUGAAAAGAAAACCUGGUUGGCCGGAGCCUAGCCGGGUCGUCCGUUAGCGGGACCGACACCGGAGUUGACCAGCCGAGGCCUCGAGUCGGGCUGACGUCCUUGGAGGACGGCUGGCCGAGGCCCCGGGGUGACCGGCCGAGCCGUCUGCUCGGGCCGGAUUCCCGGAGAAGACCCUGGCAGCGAUUGCCCGGGCGUGGCGAUGACGUCGUCCUUUAGAGUGGAGAUACUCGGACCGCGUCGCCGUCCGAGGCUAGGUCGGACCUCGCCGAAGGUGUCGUCGAUGCCGAGGGUGCUGCUGCUCCCUUCAGCCGUCAAGAUCCGAGCCUGCAGGAUCGGAUUAUCUUGUAGCAUGUGUUUUCUGCGGCCGCCGAGGCCUAAACACACCCUCGCAGUGUUGUAAAGAUGCGUCUCUUUUCCUCUUGUUUCGAGUAUCUGGACUUUUUUGUCGGUAACAGAAUUGUUUUGUGCGAGCGAGAGUUGCUUCUACGGAAGGUGAUGAGUGAGGUAUCCGUAUCCCGGAGGCGUAGGAGUCCCUCGGCUCGGUCGGCCUUGCCGCUUACGCGCACUCUUACCCGUCCAUGGGGUUCUGUUCCCGACGCAGUCGAGAAGGCUCGAGAAAUCGCUUCGGCAGAAGAGCUUCCGAACGUGAAGACUUGUUUGGUCCGCGGAAUCACUUAUCCGAACGCGAGUUACUUAUCGCAGAAGGUGAUGAGUGAGGUAUCCGUAUCCCGGAGGCGUAGGAGUCCCUCGGCUCGGUCAGCCUUGGCUGCUUACGUGUACUCUGUCGUUUUCAGGAUCCGCUUUCGAAGUAGUCAAAAAGCAUGAAAGACAUUCUGGUAGAAAGGACCUUUUUUCGAGGAAAAAAUUCGACGCAGAGGGGGUUCCCCCCCUUUUAGCCCCCGAGGGAGGGUCAGGCUUUGCCGAGGCAAGGCUGACCCUUCCUUGAUGACUAAACUUUGCGUGGGAGCGAGGUAUAUGAACAACUUGAAAACAUCUUAAGGGUAGAAGCGACGUAGCUGUUGGAUGUUCCAAGCGUUGCUGUAGACCUCGCCUUGACUGUUGGCCAGCUUGUAUGUUUCGGGCUUCAGAACUUUGGCGAUGACGAACGGCCCCUCCCAGGGAGGCGUGAGCUUGUGCCGCCCUCGGGCGUCUUGUCGCAGCCGAAGCACCAGGUCGCCCACCUGGAGGUCUCGGGACCUGACUCCUCGGGCGUGGUAGCGUCGCAGGGACUGCUGGUAUCGCGCCGAGUGUAGUAAGGCCUUAUCCCGAGCCUCCUCCAGCUAGUCCAGCGAGUCUUCUCGGCUAGCUUGGUUGCUUUGGUCGGUGUAGGCCCUCGUCCUCGGGGAGCCGUAUUCCAGGUCUGUGGGCAAGACGGCCUCGGCCCCGUAGACUAGGAAGAACGGCGUGAAGCCCGUGGCUCGGCUUGGCGUUGUCCUCAGACUCCAGACCACCGAGGGGAGUUCCUUCAUCCAUCGCUUGCCGAACUUGUUGAGGUCGUUGUAGAUCCGAGGCUUGAGCCCUUGUAGAAUCAUGACGUUGGCACGCUCUACUUGCCCAUUUGACAUGGGAUGAGCCACGGCGGCCCAGUCCACCUGGAUGUGAUGAUCCUCGCAGAAGUUCAAGAACUUUCUGCCGGUGAACUGGGUGCCGUUGUCGGUGAUGAUGGAGUUCGGGACCCCGAAGCGAUGGAUGAUGUUGGUGAAGAAUGCCACCGCCUGCUCGGACCUGAUGCUGUUUAGGGGUCGGACCUCGAUCCACUUGGAGAAUUUGUCGAUGGCGACCAACAGGUGCGUGUAGCCCCCGGGUGCCUUCUGCAAGGGGCCGACGAGGUCCAGACCCCACACAACAAAAGGCCAGGUGAUGGGUAUCGUCUGUAGAGCCUGAGCGGGCAGGUGGGUCUGUCUUGCGUAGAACUGACACCCUUCGCAGGUGCGGACAGUUCUAGUGGCGUCGGCCACCGCCGUUGGCCAAUAGAAGCCUUGUCGGAAAGCAUUCCCGACAAGGGCUCGAGGUGCUGCGUGAUGGCCGCAAGCCCCCGAGUGUAUCUCUCGCAGGAGUUCCUGACCUUCGGCGAUGGGGAUGCAUCGCUGGAGGAUGCCCGAGGGGCUGCGGUGGUAGAGCUCCUUCUCAUCUCCCAGCAAGACGAACGACUUGGCGCGUCGCGCCAGCCGCCGAGCUUCGGCUCGGUCGGAGGGUAGCUCUCCUCGGUGGAGAUAUUGCAGGUACGGGGUCUGCCAGCUUUGAUCAGGCAUGUCCCCACUUCGCUCCCCCUCGACGUGCAGCGUCUCGCCCUCGGGGGCCGAGGGUGCCUCGGGCCGAACCGAGGAUGCCUCGGACUGAGCCGAGGGUGCCUCGGACUGGGCCGAGGGUGCCUCGGGCUCGGGCGUGUCGUCGAUCUUGAUGGAGGGUUGAUGCAGAUCCCGGGAGAAGAUGUCCGGGGGAACCGUCGUUCGCCCCGAGGCUAUUUUAGCCAGCUCGUCCGCAGUCUCGUUGUAGCGCCGAGCGAUGUGGUUGAGCUCGAGCCCGUAGAACUUGUCUUCCAGGUGCCGAACCUCAUCGUAGUAGGCCUCCAUCUUCGGGUCGCGGCAGUGGGAGUUCUUCAUGACUUGGUCGAUGACGAGCUGUGAGUCACCGCGAGCGUCGAGGCGUCGGACCCCUAGCUCGAUGGCGAUCCGCAACCUGUUGACCAGAGCCUCAUACUCGGCCACAUUGUUGGACGCCGGGAAAUGGAGGCGUAGCACGUAGCGUAGGUGCUUCCCGAGGGGCGAGAUGAAGAGUAGGCCUGCGCCGGCUCCUGUCUUCAUCAGCGACCCGUCGAAGAACAUGGUCCAGAGCUCCGGCUGGAUCGGAGCUGUUGGGAGCUGAGUGUCGACCCAUUCAGCUACGAAGUCCGCCAAGACCUGGGACUUGAUGGCCUUCCGAGGAGCGAACGAGAUCGUCUCGCCCAUGAUUUCCACCGCCCACUUUGCAAUCCUACCCGAGGCCUCCCGGCACUGGAUGAUCUCCCCCAGGGGGAAGGAUGACACCACAGUUACCGGGUGAGACUCGAAGUAGUGUCGCAGCUUCCGCCGCGUUAGGAUCACCGCGUACAGCAGCUUCUGAACUUGUGGGUAGCGGAUCUUGGUUUCGGACAGUACCUCGCUGACGAAGUAAACUGGCCUCUGAACGGGCAAUGCAUGCCCCUCCUCUUGCCUCUCGACCACAAUCGCGGCGCUAACCACCUGAGUGGUCGCGGCGACGUAGACCAAGGGGGCUUCUCCAGCAGCUGGGGGUACCAAGAUAGGCGCCUUCGUGAGGAGCGCCUUCAGGUUCCCGAGGGCUUCCUCAGCCUCAGGGGUCCAAGUGAAGCACUCGGCCUUCCUUAAGAGGCGGUACAGAGGUAGACCUCUUUUGCCGAGGCGUGAGAUGAAGCGGCUCAGAGCCGCGAGGCAUCCCAUGACCCUCUGUAUGCCUUUCAAGUCCUUGAUGGGCCCCAUGCUGGUGAUAGCUGCGAUCUUCUCCGGGUUGGCUUCGAUGCCCCGCUCGGAGACGAUGAACCCCAAGAGCAUGCCUCGGGGCACCCCGAAAACACACUUUUCGGGAUUGAGCUUGACGCCCUUCGCCUUGAGACAUCGGAAUGUUACUUCAAGGUCGGAAAGGAGGUCGGAGGCUUUCCUCAUCUUGACUACGAUGUCAUCGACGUAGGCCUCGACCGUGCGGCCGAUGUGUUGGCCGAACACAUGGUUCAUGCACCGCUGGUACGUCACGCCCGCAUUCCUCAAGCCGAACGGCAUGGUGACAUAGCAGUACAUGCCGAAGGGUGUGAUGAAAGAAGUCGCGAGCUGGUCGGACUCUUUCAUCCUGAUUUGGUGAUACCCCGAGUAGGCAUCGAGGAAAGACAGGGUUUCACACCCAGCAGUGGAAUCCACGAUUUGGUCGAUGCGAGGCAGAGGGUAGGGAACCUUCGGACAUGCUUUGUUGAGACCAGUGUAGUCUACACACAUCCGCCAUUUCCCCCCUUUCUUUCUCACAAGCACAGGGUUGGCAAGCCAUUCGGGAUGGAAUACCUCCUUGAUGAACCCUGCCACCAUUAGCUUGUGGAUCUCCUCGCCUAUGGCUCUGCGCUUCUCCUCGUCGAAUCGGCACAGAGGCUGCUUGACGGGUCGGGCUCCGGCUCGGAUGUCCAGCGAGUGCUCAACGACAUCCCUCGGUAUGCCGGGCAUGUCCGAGGGACUCCACGCAAAGACGUCGGCGUUCGCGCGGAGAAAGUCGACGAGCACUGCUUCCUAUUUGGGACCGAGCUCGGAGCCGAUCCGGACUUGCUUGGAGGCGUCACUGCUGGGGUCGAGGGGGACGGACUUAACCGUCUCCGCUGGCUCAAAGUUGCCGGCAUGACGCUUCACGUCUGGCACCUCCUUCGAGAGGCUCUCCAGGUCGGCGAUGAGGGCCUCGGACUCGGCGAGGGCCUCGGCGUACUCCACGCACUCCACGUCGCAUUCGAACGCGUGUUUGUACGUGGGGCCGACGGUGAUGACCCCAUUGGGGCCCGACAUCUUGAGCUUCAGGUAGGUGUAGUUGGGGACGGCCAUGAACUUCGCGUAGCAUGGCCUCCCCAGUACCGCGUGGUAGGUUCCUCGGAACCCGACCACCUCGAACGUCAGGGUCUCCCUUCGGAAGUUGGAGGGUGUUCCGAAGCAGACGGAAAGGUCGAGCUGUCCGAGGGGCUGGACGCGCUUCCCGGGAAUGAUCCCAUGGAAGGGCGCAGUGCCUGCCCGGACAGAGGAUAGAUCGACACGUAGGAGCCCGAGGGUCUCGGCGUAGAUGAUGUUGAGGCUGCUGCCUCCGUCCAUGAGGACCUUGGUGAGCCUGACGUCGCCGAUGAUGGGGUCGACGACGAGCGGGUGUUUCCCCGGGCUCGGCACAUGGUCGGGGUGGUCGGCUUGGUCGAAGGUGAUGGGCUUGUCGGACCAGUCUAGGUAGACUGGCGCCGCUACCUUCACCGAACAGACCUCCCGGCGCUCUUGCUUGCGGUGCCGAGCCGAGGCGUUCGCCACUUGCCCACCAUAGAUCAUGAAGCAGUCGCGGACCUCGGGGAACUCUCCUGCCUGGUGAUCUUCCUUCUUGUCGUCGUCGCGGGCCUUGCCACCCUCCGCGGGUGGCCCAGCCCUGUGGAAGUGGCGCCGAAGCAUGACGCACUCCUCAAGGGUGUGCUUGACGGGCCCCUGGUGAUAGGGGCACGGCUCCUUGAGCAUCUUGUCGAAGAGGUUGGCACCUCCGGGGGGCUCCCGAGGGUUCUUGUACUCGGCGGCGGCGACAAGGUCCGCGUCGGCGGCGUCGCGUUUCGCUUGCGACUUCUUCUUGCCCUUCUUCUUGGCACCGCGCUGAGUUGACGCCUCGGGGGCAUCUUCCGAAGGGCGGCCCUGGGGCUGCUUGUCCUUCCGGAAGAUAGCCUCGACCGCCUCUUGGCCGGAAGCGAACUUGGUGGCGAUGUCCAUCAGCUCGCUCGCCCCGGUGGGGAUUUUGCGACCCAGCUUGCUCACCAGGUCGCGGCAGGUGGUGCCAGCGAGGAACGCGCCGAUGACAUCCGAGUCGGUGAUGUUGGGUAGAUCGGUGCGCUGCUUCGAGAAUCGCCGGAUGUAGUCCCGGAGAGACUCUCCCGGCUGCUGUCGGCAGCUUCGAAGGUCCCAGGAAUUCUCGGGGCGCACGUACGUGCCCUGGAAAUUCUCGGCGAAAGCUUGGACUAGGUCGUCCCAGUUGGAGAUCUGCCCCGGAGGCAGGUGCUCCAACCAGGCGCGAGCGGUGUCGGAGAGGAACAGGGGGAGGUUGCGGAUGAUGAGGUUGUCAUCGUCCGUUCCACCCAGUUGGCAGGCCAGACGGUAGUCCGCGAGCCACAGUUCCGGUCUCGUCUCCCCCGAGUACUUCGUGAUAGUAGUCGGGGGUCGGAACCGGGUCGGGAACGACGCCCGUCGUAUGGCUCGGCUGAAGGCCUGCGGACCGGGUGGCUCGGGCGAGGGACUCCGAUCCUCCCCGCUGUCGUAGCGCCCCCCACGCCUGGGGUGGUAGCCUCGGCGCACCCUCUCAUCGAGGUGGGCCCGACGGUCACGGUGAUGGUGCUCGUUGCCGAGGCGACCCGGGGCCGCAGGCGCGGUGUUGCGCGUGCGUCCGGUGUAGACCGAGGCUUCCCGCAUGAAUCGGGAAGUUGCGGCAUGAGGUUCCGAGGGGUACCCCUGCCUUCAGGAGGCAGAGCUCUCGGCCCGUCGGACCGCGGCGCCUUUCAGGAGAUUCUUGAGCUCCCCCUGGAUUCGCCGCCCCUCGGUGGUUGAUGGCUCCGGCAUCGUGCGGAGAAGCCUCGCUGCUGUAGCCAGGUUCUGGCCGACCCCACUAGAUGCGGGUGGUGGCCUGACCCUGACAUCGUCGGCGACGCGGUGCUGGAAGCCCUAGGGUAGAUGACGUAUUUCUCCGGCCGGGGGUUGGCCCGCCCAUGCCUGUCCGACGUCCCAGCGGAUCGGCUCAAGCGCUCCUGCUCCCUCGUCGAGCCUGGCCUGCACCCCGCGGAUUUGCUCGAGCUGUGGGUCAUGACCCCCCGCUUGAACGGGGACCACAGCUAGCUCCCAUGGGAUGUCAACGCGAGGCACCGGCCUAGGGAGAUCACCGUCCUCCGGCAUGCCGAGAUGGUUGCCUUCGGAGGGACCCCCUAGAUCGACGUGGAGGCAUUCGCGACUUGGGCCGUAGUCCUCGUCGCCGAGGCUACGGCUACCGUCGGAACAGUCGGAAAGGCAGUAGUCGCAUGCGGUCAUGAAGUCCCGCAUGGCGCUGGGGUUGCCAAGUCCAGAGAAAUCCCAACAGAUGCUGGGCCCGUCGUCUUCCUCGGACCCAGAGGGCCCGUAGGUCGAGACGUCCGUCAGCCGGUCCAAAGGUGACCGCAUACGAAACCCCAGAGGGUUUGGACUUGCCUCUACGAGAGCGCCCGCCAAAGCGAAGUCGCUAGGCGGGUUGAGGCUGAAUCCGAAAGACGUGGGAUGGGAAUCGGUCGGUACCUUCUGGUCGACGGGCGGCGAUGACGUCACGUCGGGGACUGACUGCACCGUCGUCUCAGGUACAAGGGUGACGUCCAGCAAGCCUUUCGCGAGCGUGCUGGCGUCGUCCGCUUGCUCGAGAUUGGCGUGUCGCGGGGAGACGGCGCUCGCCUUCGCCUCAAACGCGAGGUCGAUGCCCGACGCGCCCCCCGUUGGGGCGCUGGGGCCGUCGACUCGCUCGACAGUCGACGAGGCGCUGCCUCCUGCUUGGCCUUGGUUGCCCCGCCUCCUCCUCCAUCGGCGGGGGAGAAGACGGGGUGAGCUCGAACGUUGUUCUUCCACCACGCGGGGAAGACGUCGUCGAUUCCGCCGCCGGCGGGCGGGCUGUCAGCCGCCAUUGUCGUUGUCGCGCGGCAGUGGAAGGAGUAUCAUGUCGUAGCUGCCGUCGAGGGACAUGAACUCAAGACUCCCGAAACGGAGCACCGUCCCAGGUUGGAGAGGUUGCUGGAGACUGCCCAUCUGGAGCUUGACGGGAAGCUGUUCGUCAACACGCAGCAGGCCCCUACCUGGCGCGCCAACUGUCGGCGUUCCGAGAACGGGGGGUCCCUGAGCCGACGAGUGAAUGUCGCCGCGUGCCCCAGCCCAGAUGGGUCGAGCGCGAGGCAGAGCGUGAAGGGGGGAGAGCGAGGCGGCCGGAGACCGGCGUGAGAGAGGUGGGAAUCCCGCGGCCUUCGUGUUCGUCCCGCGCCCAGGUCGGGUGCGCUUGCAGUAGGGGGUUACAAGCGUCCACGCGGGAGAGGGAGCGAGCGGCUUCAAGCGAGCGCGUACCUCGUCCUCGUCCCCGCGCGACCAACCCUCCCUAAGAGGGCCCUGGUCCUUCCUUUUAUAGGCGUAAGGAGAGGAUUCAGGUGUACAAUGGGGGGUGUAGCAGAGUGCUACGUGUCUAGCGAAGGAGAGCUAGCGCCCUAAGUACAUGCCAUUGUGGCAGCCGGAGAGAUUUUGGCACCCAGCUGGUGUGAUGUCGUGGCCGUCGGAGGAGCGAUGGAGCCUGGCGGAGGGACAACUGUUGGAGCGGUUGAGUCCUUGCUGACGUCCUCUUGCUUCCGUAAGGGGGUUGAGAGCCGCCGUUGUCACAGAGUAUGCAGGGCGCCAUCAUUGCCUAUCUGGCGGAGCGAGCCAGAUGGGACGCCGGUCUUGUUCCCUGCGGCCCGAGUCAGCUCGGGGUAGGGUGAUGAUGGAGCCUCCUGUUGAUGUGGCUGGUCUGCGCACUAGGUUGGGCGAUGUGGAAGCUCCUCCGAAGCCGAGGUUGAGUCUGUCUUCCGUGGCCGAGGUUGAGUCCGAGCCCCCGGGUCGGGCGAGGCGGAGAUCGCCGGCUGAUGCCGGGGCGGAGUCCGAGCCCUGGGGUCGGGCGAAGCGGAGUUCGUCGUCUUCUGGGGCUGAGCCCAAGUCCGAGCCCUGGGUCGGGCGGAGCGGAGUUCGCCGUCUUCCGGGACUUAGCCCGAGUCCGAGCCCUGGGUCGGGCGGAGCGGAGUUCGCCGUCUUCCGGGACUUAGCCCGAGUCCGAGCCCUGGGUCGGGCGGAGCGGAGUUCGCCGUCUUCCGGGACUUAGCCUGUGUCCGAGCCCUGGGUCGGGCGGAGCAGAGUUCGCCGUCUUCCGGGACUUAGCCCGAGUCCGAGCCCUGGGUCGGGCGGAGCGGAGUUCGCCGUCUUCCGGGACUUAGCCCGUGUCCGAGCCCUAGGUCGGGCGGAGCAGAGUUCGUCGUCUUCCGGGACUUAGCCCGUGUCCGAGCCCUGGGUCGGGCGAAGCGGAGCUUCCUAUGGUGCCUUCGACCGGGCCUGACUGCCUGUCAGCCUCACUCUAUUGAGUGGCACCGCAGUCGGAGCGGCGCAGGCGGCGCUGUCUUUCUGUCAGGCUGGUCAGUGGAGCGGCGAAGUGACGGCGGUCACUUCGGCUCUGGGGGCGCGCGUCAGGAUAAAGGUGUCAGGCCACCUUUGCAUUAAAUGCUCCUGCGACUUGGUCGGUCGGUGCGGCGAUUUGGUCAGGGUUGCUUCUUAGCGAAGACAGGGCCUCGGGCGAGCCGGGAACACAUUCGCCGUUGGAGGGGGCCUCGGGCGAGACGGAGAUCCUCCGGGGUCGGCUGCCCUUGUCCGAGGCUAGGCUCGGGCGAGGCGUGAUCGGGUCCCUCGUAUGGACCGAUCCCUGACUUAAUCGCACCCAUCAGGCCUUUGCAGCUUUAUGCUGAUGGGGGUUACCAGCUGAGAAUUAGGAGCCUUGAGGGUACCCCUAAUUAUGGUCCCCGACACUACUCUCACGAUUUCAUCCCGACAUAUGCAAACUAGACACUAAUCACGUAAAGUAAAGACAUAUGUGGAAACAUGAACUUAUAGAAUGUAUUUCAAUCUAUAGAUUGUUGAUUAUUAUGGUAGAUUAUAUAAUAUAGGGGUAUCCGAAGAAAUACGUAAAAAACAAGAGAACUAAAAUUACCUUUUCAUAUUCGGCUAACUGGUAAAAGGACUUGUUGUAUCUGAGUUUCCAAAUUUGGGACGUAGAUGUAAAAAAGGAAUAUAAAUACAAUGGGAAAAAUUCUAAAAGGCAAGGUUUAACACAAGUAGGGCUAAGAAAAAUCAAUGAGGCUUUGGUUGCAUGGUUACAAAACUAGAGACAAGAAACUCACGAAGAAACCAAGGUAAUUAGUAUGAGAGUUUUCCAAAUUUGGUGUCUUGAUGUAGAUAAAUAAAUAUAUGACAAACGUGUUUUUUGUAUGGCAUGGUAAAAUAAGUGGGAGUGAGCAAUGAAUUUCAUUCUAGAUUUAGAAGGAAUAAAUAUAUCACUAAAUAUGGUCUUUCCCAAUGCCAAGUUAAGCGGGUGGGACCAAGAAAAGAAAAUCUUGCAAGGCUUGGUUGUACCAGUCCGAAACUAGAUACAACAGAGGAAAAAUGAAAAAAUGAUGGUCUACCAAAUAUGGCAUAUGAGCCUUAAGGUGGACCUAGAGGGAAGUAGAAGAAAUAAAUAUAUAACUGAAUAUGUUCUUCGCAACGUGUCACACCCGGUUUCAGAAGGCAAACCGAAUGCGAACCAUGUACGUGCCAGGAUCAGAACUCACGUACACAGCGAUUACAUAAAUGACUCAUCAUAGCACAAUGCUUCGAAUAAUCAUAAAGAGUAAGUAAUAUUAUUACAGACGAGAGUCAUUAACAUAAUAUAUAUCAAAGUGCACAUAAUAGAAACGUAGCCAACGUAAAUAAACCCACCACAGGCAGCUGACUGGGGGUGGUCGCUAGCCUAAUCCUCGAACUCGACGAAGUCCUAGAACUCCUAGAGAUCCACAUCGACGCCUUCUUCUUCUUUACCUGAGCAUAGGUUGCACCAAAGGCAACCUGGUGUUUGUGAAAGCAAGGGUGAGUACACAUCAACGUACUCAGCAAAUGUCCCGUUUGGCUGAGGUGGACUAGCUUUAUGUGGGGUUAGGCUGAUAGCAUGUUGCUUUUACUUUAUCAAGUUUUAUUCAUUAAUAUGAGCCAAGUUUUAUCAACAGUCCCCAAUUAUUAUCCCAGAGAGCACCUCCUCAUAGAGGAAAUACCAUAAAUCCAUAGUCAGAAUCAUCAUUAAUAGAACCAUCAUCAUCAUCUGUAAUCAUUAUAUCUCAGAUCAUCUGUAAUCAUCAUAUCUCAAAUCAUCUGUAACUCUAAUCAAAGAGGAUCCCAAGGCCGCUCAUAACCGUGAGCACGACUGAUAUAUCAGUUUCUAACACUCUGCAGAGGUUGCACACUUUACCCAUGAGCCGUGAUUUCCAUUUUGCCCGGGGAUCAUGACUCCCCAUUGAUCACUUCCUAGGUGGUCCGGCAGGGUAUCACUACGUAGCCUUUACAAAGAUUCCCUAGAGGUCAUAGCCGCCCGUUAGGUUUCUCCAGUUUGAUAAACACAGUACCUCUCCCCGAAGGGGGGUGACUAACAAAAGCAAAACGAAAGAACCUCGGCACCCAGCCUCGGCAGAGCAAGCACUGUGCCUGGACCCCAUUGACGGCACGACGGCGAAGCAACUACACCUCUAGUUCCUCUAAUUAAUUAGCUAAGGGCACCCCAUUCCACCCUCAUGGUUGCACUGUUAUCCCGGGUGGUCUCUCAACGAACAGGUCCUUACGGAGAGGUACUCAGGAAACAGCCUGAGCCCCCUAGAGUAUCACAAGAUCAUCAAUAUCAUCAGGAUAACAGUAUCAUAAAUAGUCACAUCAUGUUCAUUGAUUAAGUUAAGGCAAUAGCAGAAUGCUAACCAUAACAGCCCAUAAGGUCAUCAAGGAUAAAGUAAAGUGUAAAGCUAGUAAAUCCUUAGGUUUCAAGUAAGUAAUGCGGGAUAGUAAGUUAUAAGUGAAUAGGACAUAAUGGGUCAGAGGACACUUGCCUUCACCAAACUGCUGAUCAGGGACUUCCUCUGCAACUUCCUCGGGAAACACAAACUGCUCGUUGUCUACGUAAAGUAAUCAUUCACACUAUGCACUUGGGAAAUAACAAACAAAAGCAAUAUACCAAACAUAUGCAGCAGAGGGAUCACAAGUUCAUAAUAGAAAAGGAUUGGCACACUGGGGUUCCUUAGGUCUAGGGUAGAGGACUACACAAAGUGACUCACUAUCCACUAAUCGGGUUUAAGUCAGUGGUGGGGUUAAAUCAUUAUAUGAUUUUAAGUCUCUAAACUUAGGUGUUUAAGUCCAUAAACUUAGGUGCUCCAACUUUUAUUAAAGUCUACCAUCUUCUAUUUAUCUCAAAUAGGGUUCCAAUAACCUUAAUCCUAUCCUAAUGAUCAACUAUUAAUUGGGACAUGGAAACAGCAGGGAAACAUUGUUUAAAUAGAUAGACAAAAAUACUAUGAGCAUUUUGCAAUUUGAAGCACCUAAUUUGGAGUUCAUAUGACAAAGUUAUGAAUUUUACAAGUUUAGGGAUUAAAAAUAUGCCCUAAAUACUUAUUUUGAAUUAAAUAAAAGGUCCGAGGACCUAACUGCGAGAAUCCAGGGACGGCGGGUUAAUUUGCGGAAAGGCGGGGGUCUCUUUAAGAAAACGCGCGGGCGAAGGGGUAUCGGGCUCCUACGACCGUCGGAUCUCAGAUCAACGCGCAGGAUUAGAUCCGCGGGCGGGCGCGCGAGCGCGCGGCGGCCUGAGCGGCUGACAGGCGGGGCCAGGCGGGCAGCGCGGGGCGGCGGGCUGACAGGCGGGGCCAGGCGGGCAGAGCGAGCGCAAGCGGCUGACCGGUGGGGCCCAAACGGCAGGGAGGCGGGGUGCGGGGGAAACGGCUCUGGGCCGUUGGAUCUCCGGUAGGCGGCCAGGAUUGGGCUCGGGCUAUUUAAAAUAGAGCCAUCCGAUCCGAGAUGGACGGCGGGGAUGGGGCGGCUGGCUUCUGUCCCCUUCUCCAGCCAGCUGAGGCGGCGGCGGCCGCACCCGCGGCGGAGAAGCUCGCCGGAGACAAGGGCGCGGGGGCUCUGCGGGUCCUUAGGGCGACCGGAGUGGCCUGGGAGGUUGGGGAAGGCGCGGGGAAUCUUCUGGCGGGAGCUAGGUUGGGACAGGGGCACCGGAGGGGGGCGGUUCACGGCGAAGCGGCUCGGCGGCGGCGUUAAUCGACUCCGGCGAACAAUUAAGCGCAGCAGAGAGCCAUACAAAGGUCGAUAGGGGGCGGGAGAGGUUCCUUACCUCAAGGCGGGCUCCGGGGACUCCUUGGUGGCGGCAAUGGCGCGACGGCGGCCCGGGGCGACGGUGGCGGACCUCUGCGGCUGCACGGAGGACGGCGGGUGAGCGCGGACAGGGGAAAUUAGAGAGGGGGAGGAGGAAUUGGGGCGUGUCCCGGGUUGCGGACGCCGAGGCGAAGCUCACCGUGGCAGAGGGCACGGCGGGGCUCCGACGUCGACGGAGAAACGGGCUCGGGACGGCGGCGGUUUAAUGGCGGCGGUGCUCUGGCGUGUGCGCGACGUGGGGGAGGUUGGAGAGGGGUCUGCAGGUGCGCAAAUGAGGGAGGGGGUGAGGGCGAGCGGGGUUCUGGGCUCAAGUGGCCGGGGGGCGGGGUGGUUGCGAGCUUCACGUGCGACGUGGGCGCGGAGACCGCGGCAACGCGCAGCUCGGGCGGCGGUUACGCGAAGACGGCGGAGCUGACAGCUCGGGCCCGCGAGCAGAGAGAGAGAGGAAAGCGGGCGCGGGCGCGGAGAAGGCGGCCGGCGCUGACGGGCGGGCCCGCCAGGACAGAGAGAGAAAGGGGGAAGAGGCGCGCGCGGGAUGGGCCUGGUGGGCCGAAAGGCCGAGGGGGCGGGGGGAGUGGGCUUCUUUUCCUUUUUCUUUUUAUUCUGGAAUUUGUUUUCCCUUUUCUUUUUAUUUAUUCUAUUUGAUUCAAAUCCAAAUAAGCCACAAACUCAAAUUAGACUUUCCAAGAAUUAUGCACCAAACAAAAGUGAAAUCUAGGGUUCAACAUGAUGCAACAAUUCAUACUCCCUUGUAGUUUAACCCACUAAAUUAUAAUUACAAAUAAGAAUAACCACCCUUUUCCUAUAGAAAUGAGAAAGAGGAGAUUGGGGAAAAGUGAGAAAAGAGAAGUAACACCUGAAUUUGUGAAUAUGAGCAAAGAAAUUUUAUACCCCCAAAUUCAGGGUGUUACAAACCUAUCCCCCUUAAAAGAAUCUCGCCCCGAGAUUCAAGGUUGGUCAGCAAAGAGUUCAUGGUAUUUAGCCUUCAGAUCAUCUUCUCGUUCCCAGGUUGGUUCUUCCUCGGAGUGGUGACCCCAUCUGACUUUGCACAUUCUGAUGGUGUUCCUCCGGGUGACUCUGUCUGCAAACUCCAGAAUCUGCGUUGGCUUCUCUAUGUAUGUCAGAUCCUCCUGGACCUCCAAACCCUCCACUGGCAACUGUUCUUCUGGUACUCGCAGACACUUCUUCAGUUGGGACACAUGGAACACAUUGUGCACUGCCGACAAACUUUCUGGUAGGUUGAGCUGGUAGGCCACUUCUCCACGCUUGGCUUGGAUCUGAUAUGGUCCGACGUACCGGGGUGCUAACUUGCCUUUAACUCCGAACCUUCUGACUCCCCUGAUAGGUGACACCUUCAGAUAGACGUAAUCUCCCACUUCGAAACUCAGUUCUCUUCUCCUUCGGUCCGCAUAGCUUCGCUGUCUUGACUGGGCUAUCUUCAGAUUCUCCCGAACCAUUUUGAUAUUCUCUUCGGCUUCAAGCAAGAUGUCGGGGCCAAACACCUGUCUCUCUCCUGGCUGGUCCCAAUGCAGCGGAGUCCUACAACUCCGCCCAUAGAGUGCCUGAAAUGGCGACAUCUUCAAGCUGGCCUGGUAACUAUUGUUAUAGGAGAAUUCUGCAUAAGGUAACCUUUUGUCCCAUCCUGACUUGUCUUGCAACGCACAGGCUCUCAACAUAUCUUCUAGGAUCUGAUUAGUUCUUUCAGUCUGACCGACUGUCUGUGGGUGAUAAGCUGAGCUGAAGUUCAAAUGUGUGCCCAAAGCUUCUUGUAGCUGCUGCCAAAAAUGAGAGGUGAACUGCGUUCCUCGAUCUGACACUAUCUUCUUCGGCACACCAUGAAGGCAGACUAUCCGUGACAUGUAUAACUCAGCUAACGUUGCUCCGGUGUAUGUUGUCUUCACGGGUAUGAAAUGGGCCACCUUUGUUAAGCGGUCCACAACCACCCAGAUGGAAUCAUAACCGGCCCGGGUACGAGGUAGGCCAACUAUAAAAUCCAUCCCGAUCUCAUCCCACUUCCACUGAGGAAUCCGCAAUGGCUGCAACAAUCCGGCGGGUCUCUGAUGCUCUGCUUUGGUUCUUUGACAGCUAUCACAGAUGGCGACAUAUUCUGCGAUCUCUCUUUUCAUGCCAUACCACCAAAACCUUCUUUUUAAAUCCUGGUACAUCUUCUCGCUCCCUGGGUGUAUGGAGUAGGCUGUCUCAUGAGCUUCCUUGAGGAUCAGUUCCCGAAUAGGUUUGAGGUCGGGAACACACAAUCGGUCCUUGAACCAUAUUACCCCCUCUUCAUCCUCUCGAAAGUCUUUGCCUCUUCCUUCUAAGAUCAGCUGCCGGAUCUUGUUGAUGCUUUCAUCAUCCUUCUGCCCUUCUUUGAUCUCCCGCUCCAGGGUGGGCUCUAAUUCCACUGUUACUCCUUGCGUACUGUUCAGGAAACCGAGGCUCAGUCUGUCGAACUCUUUGGCUAACUCAUACGGCAUCGGGUACGAGGCCAACAUAUUGACUUGACUCUUCCUGCUCAGAGCAUCUGCAACAACAUUGGCUUUGCCUGGAUGGUAAUGUAUCUCCAACUCAUAGUCCUUGAUCAAUUCCAACCAUCUUCGCUGCCUCAUGUUUAACUCUGACUGGGUGAAUAUGUACUUCAGACUUUUAUGAUCUGUGUAGAUGUCGCACUUCUGCCCGUACAGGUAAUGUCUCCAGGUCUUUAAAGCAUGAACCACCGCUGCCAACUCCAGGUCAUGUGUGGGAUAAUUUUUCUCAUGGAUCUUCAGCUGUCGAGAUGAGUAUGCUACAACUCUUCCUUCUUGCAUUAGCACACAUCCCAAUCCGGUGUAAGAAGCGUCGCAAUACACUGAGAAUGACUUGUGAACAUCAGGCAGAACUAGCACAUGAGCUGUAGUCAAUCUAUUCUUCAGUUCUUCAAAUGCUUCCUGACACUUUUGGGUCCACUUAAACUCAACUUUCUUCGCUAGUAACGCUGUCAUUGGUCUAGCAAUCUUUGAGAAGCCUUCGAUGAAAUGCCUGUAGUAUCCGGCCAUUCCGAUGAAGCUUUUGAUCCCACGAACAUCCUUCGGUGCUUUCCAGUUCAGGAUAUCUGCCACUUUCUUUGGAUCCACUGCUAACCCAUCUUGGUUUAUGAUGUGACCCAGAAAUAAGACUUCAUGAAUCCAGAACUCGCAUUUGCCCAGCUUGGCAUACAACUGGUGCUCUCGAAGUCUUUGCAAUACCAUCUUCAAAUGCUCUACAUGAUCUUCCUCACUUUGAGAGUAUAUGAGAAUGUCAUCGAUGAACACUACCACAAACUUGUCUAGAUAGUCCAUGAACACGCUGUUCAUCAGAUACAUAAAGAAGGCUGGCGCAUUUGUCAAACCAAAGGACAUAACUGUGAACUCAUAUAACCCAUACUUGGUGAUGAAUGCUGUCUUCGGUAUGUCCGAGGGUCGGAUUCUGAGUUGAUGGUAACCUGAUCUCAGAUCUAUCUUCGAGAAUACGCUGGCACCUCUGAGCUGGUCGAACAAAUCUUCUAUCCUUGGCAGGGGGUACUUGUUCUUGACAGUGACUUCAUUCAAGGCUCUGUAGUCUAUGCACAUCCUUUUGGUACCAUCUUUCUUCUCUACAAACAACACUGGAGCGGCCCAAGGCGAGGUACUUGGCCUGAUGUAACCCUUCUCUAACAUCUCAUCUAUCUGCUUCUUGAGUUCUACCAGUUCUGGUCCAGACACUCGAUAGGCUCUUUUGGAAAUGGGGGCGGUACCAGGGAUAAGCUCUAUGGCAAAUUCGACUUUUCUCUCGGGUGGCAUGCCCGUUAGCUCCUCGGGAAACACAUCCGGAAAGUCUGACACAACCUUGAUAGCCUCGAGCGGGUUGGGCUCCUUACUAUCAACUGAAAUCUGGUGACAGACUCCCUCCGCUGAUUUAGGCAUCCUUAGCUCGGCCACUACCUCCUCUCCUGACGGGGACUUCAAUGUUACGGUCCUCUUGUCACAACUAACAUUUGCUUCAUACUUCAUUAACCAAUUCAUCCCUAGAAUAACAUCUAUCCCAGGGGUGUCUAUUACUAUUAAGUCACUGGGGAAUCCUAUCCCCCUUAUUUCCACCAUUAUAUUUGAGCAUAUUUUAUCUGUUUGCACCUUGCCACCAACCGAAUUAAUCCUCAUGGGCGGCAUCAUUGCCUCUAUUGAGAUGUUAUGCAAUUCUACCCAUGUUGCAGUGACAAAUGAAUGAGUUGCACCAGUAUCAAAUAGCACUUUUGCGGGAUGAGAUUCGACUGAGAACAUACCUACUGCCACAUCUGGUGCAUCUUGGAUUGCUUCGGCCUCCAAGUGGUUCACCUUUCCACGGUUGUACGCUUGGCUACGAUUGCCCGCUGCCGGCUGCAGUACACCUUGCCUUGUUGGAGCAUUAGGGUUGGUCUGCUGCUGCGCCAUCUUCUUUGGGCACUGCAUCGCCCAGUGGCCUUGAUCUCCACAGUGGAAACAUCCUCUGCCUCCUCCUUGUGCUGGGGCUGCUUGGUUGCUCUGAUUUGUUGCGGGGGCAGGAAGGCGAGGUGCCUGGUUGUUCUGCUUCUGAUACUGAUUACCUCCCUGCUGGCUGUGCUGACGAUACUGCUGCUGCUGCUGUGGGUACUGCCUCUGAAACUGCUGCUGAUGCGGACGCUGAUUCUGAUUCUGAUAUCCCUGUGGGUGACCAGGCCUGCCUUGCUGAGAUGAACUGCCUGAGAAACGGGGACGGCUGAUGCCUCCGGACUGGGGUCCACUCAUCUUGCGCUUCCGAUCUUCCAUAUCCUUACGCUUCUUCUCAGUCAUAACUGCCCUAUCGAUCAGGUGCUGGAAGGUGGGGAAGGUGUGAUUCAUCAGCUGGUAAUGCAGGGGAUCCACCAAACCUCUCAUGAACCUGUACUGCCUUUUAGCAUCAGUGUUGACGUCUUCAGGUGCAUAACGAGACAGCUGCAGAAACUUGUCUCUGUAUUCACUAACAGACAGGGGUCCCUGCUUCAGAGCCAGAAACUCCUCCUUCUUCACGAUCAUCAGUCCCUCUGGCACAUGGUACCUGCGGAAACUCUCGCUGAAUUCUUCCCAGGUGAUGGCUUCGGGGUCAGCAUGUGUGGCGAGGUAGGACUCCCACCAGGACUGGGCUGCUCCCCUUAGCUGCCGGGGACCAUACAGAACCUUCUCCCUGUUGUCACAUUGGGCGGUGCGCAGUUCCCUUUCCACCGCGCGCAGCCAGUCUUCUGCAUCCAUGGGGUCAGCAGAAUGGGUGAAGGUAGGAGGGUGCCCUCUCAUGAACUCACCACGCUUAUCCCGUGGCAUCUGGGGCAUCUGCACUUGCAAUUGGGGUUGGGGUUGCUGUUGAGCCUGCUGCAUGGCUGCUAGAGUCUGCCCAAUGGCCUGCACUGCCUGAGUCUGCAUCAAGAACAUCUGCUCCACUGACAUCGGGGGUGGUGGGGGAGGCUGCCUCUGUUGUUCCUCUUGCUGGUCAUGCUGCUCUUGCUGAGCACGCCUGUUGCAUUGGCGCCUGUUGUCAGACAUCUGUGGAAGACAUUCAUACAUCAGCAUUGAUCUUACAAUCCUUCAGCAUAAGAAAAGAGAAUACGGAAUUCUUCAUGACACUGAGUGAAUAAAGAGCUUCACUGAUCCUCAUUUAUGAUUCAACACAGCUUCUCAGAUAAGAAGGAAAGUAGAAGUAAAUGGUUUCCCAACUAAACAACUGACUUCAUUAACAUUACUAGCUAGGCCAAACUGCAAGGGAAACCCACAGGUUGGCAACAGUCAUUACAAAGAUUCGAAUCCAGCACAAGUUCAUCAUAACAAGCAUGAAAGCAACUGAUAAGCAAACUAAACUAAAUGGAAGCAUCUGAUAAGCAAACUAAACUGACUACCUAAGACUGAGACAUCUGACUUAAGAAUUAUUACAAACUCCGACGCUAACGAUCUAAGGAUCCAGAUCUAUCCUGGUCUUACAGGCAGGGGAACCAUAAGUGUGGUGACCACGUGGCGGCGAGCGGUAAGGGUGCUGAGUCCCAACAGGAGCGGGGGAACCACCCUCCUGGUGAUGGCGCUCUGCCAGCUCAGCACGCAACUCCGCAAUCUCCGUUCGAGCCCUGCUUAGCUCGUCCAGAGAGUGAUCCAGCUCAGUGUUAAGCACCGCGACUAGGUUGACUGUGCUGCUCAACCUAGGGUUAGCCUCACCAACAGGUGAGACAACCACACUCUCUGUGCUGCCAGUAGGGCGGCGGGGGUAGUACCGAAGGUUAAGACCGUCGGCCACCCCACCGAACAAAGAACAGUACUGGGAGAGUGCACGCCGUGCUGCAUCCUGCAUAGCCGCCUCUGCAGUGUCCCUCUCGGAGAUGGAAUAGUGCUCCGAAACGGCCUCCGCACCCCGGAGGUCAUCCUCCGGACGGCGAACUAGGCAGGUAGCCUCCCAGCGGUCCGGGUACCUCCCGCGACUGUGCUGGUUGACUACACAACGAUACUCGAUCGACCAGGUGUGCCGGUCGAAAGCCUGGCGCAGCAAGGUGUCGAGUGCGUCGUGGAAGUGACAACCGCGAGCGGCGUCACGGGUUUUGGGUCGGGCGACCCAUCCUUCCGCCUCCUGCAGCUCAGAAGACUCCGUGCUAUGGUCUGAGUCGUCGUCGGGGUCUCCUCCAGGAUCUCCUCCAACAGCCGGGGCGUCCCGCGGUGGUGCAGGGGGCGCCUCCAGCUGGGCCACAGAGGAACGGGGCCUCACGGACUCCACCUCUCACUGGGGUGGGGAGGAAGAGCCCUGCUGCUCUCUGUGCUGGCGCCGGCGUUCCUGCUCCUCACGCAGGCGGUGGUGCAGCCUCUCCAGGUGACUCGACUGACCGGACACGGUGCGGUGCAGAGGACGCUCCGCAAGUCGAGACGGCAGGAAAGGAAUCACCGACUUACGUGCAGUGUGUCUAAGACGAGCCAUCUACAAAAGACACCGUAAGCAUAAGAGUAAGAGCAGAACUAAUAUGACAAGUGAAUAAACCAUAGACAGAAUAAGAUAAAAAUUUUAACAAGGUAUAAUAUAGUAUAUAUAUGUAGUAAAACGUAGGGUUGGUCGAGGUGACCGACUUUUGAAGCAACAUCAGAGGUCAAGGUGAGAGGGGAGGUCAAUAGUCCUUAGUACGACCAGUGCUACUCUAGGUCAGCGGUCCUACAGUCAGCACGGCUUUGAUACCACUUAUGUCACACCCGGUUUCAGAAGGCAAACCGAAUGCGAACCAUGUACGUGCCAGGAUCAGAACUCACGUACACAGCGAUUACAUAAAUGACUCAUCAUAGCACAAUGCUUCGAAUAAUCAUAAAGAGUAAGUAAUAUUAUUACAGACAAGAGUCAUUAACAUAAUAUAUAUCAAAGUGCACAUAAUAGAAACGUAGCCAACGUAAAUAAACCCACCACAGGCAGCUGACUGGGGGUGGUCGCUAGCCUAAUCCUCGAACUCGACGAAGUCCUAGAACUCCUAGAGAUCCACAUCGACGCCUUCUUCUUCUUUACCUGAGCAUAGGUUGCACCAAAGGCAACCUGGUGUUUGUGAAAGCAAGGGUGAGUACACAUCAACGUACUCAGCAAAUGUCCCGUUUGGCUGAGGUGGACUAGCUUUAUGUGGGGUUAGGCUGAUAGCAUGUUGCUUUUACUUUGUCAAGUUUUAUUCAUUAAUAUGAGCCAAGUUUUAUCAACAGUCCCCAAUUAUUAUCCCAGAGAGCACCUCCUCAUAGAGGAAAUACCAUAAAUCCAUAGUCAGAAUCAUCAUUAAUAGAACCAUCAUCAUCAUCUGUAAUCAUUAUAUCUCAGAUCAUCUGUAAUCAUCAUAUCUCAAAUCAUCUGUAACUCUAAUCAAAGAGGAUCCCAAGGCCGCUCAUAACCGUGAGCACGGCUGAUAUAUCAGUUUCUAACACUCUGCAGAGGUUGCACACUUUACCCAUGAGCCGUGAUUCCCAUUUUGCCCGGGGAUCAUGACUCCCCAUUGAUCACUUCCUAGGUGGUCCGGCAGGGUAUCACUACGUAGCCUUUACAAAGAUUCCCUAGAGGUCAUAGCCGCCCGUUAGGUUUCUCCAGUUUGAUAAACACAGUACCUCUCCCCGAAGGGGGGUGACUAACAAAAGCAAAACGAAAGAACCUCGGCACCCAGCCUCGGCAGAGCAAGCACUGUGCCUGGACCCCAUUGACGGCACGACGGCGAAGCAACUACACCUCUAGUUCCUCUAAUUAAUUAGCUAAGGGCACCCCAUUCCACCCUCAUGGUUGCACUGUUAUCCCGGGUGGUCUCUCAACGAACAGGUCCUUACGGAGAGGUACUCAGGAAACAGCCUGAGCCCCCUAGAGUAUCACAAGAUCAUCAAUAUCAUCAGGAUAACAGUAUCAUAAAUAGUCACAUCAUGUUCAUUGAUUAAGUUAAGGCAAUAGCAGAAUGCUAACCAUAACAGCCCAUAAGGUCAUCAAGGAUAAAGUAAAGUGUAAAGCUAGUAAAUCCUUAGGUUUCAAGUAAGUAAUGCGGGAUAGUAAGUUAUAAGUGAAUAGGACAUAAUGGGUCAGAGGACACUUGCCUUCACCAAACUGCUGAUCAGGGACUUCCUCUGCAACUUCCUCGGGAAACACAAACUGCUCGUUGUCUACGUAAAGUAAUCAUUCACACUAUGCACUUGGGAAAUAACAAACAAAAGCAAUAUACCAAACAUAUGCAGCAGAGGGAUCACAAGUUCAUAAUAGAAAAGGAUUGGCACACUGGGGUUCCUUAGGUCUAGGGUAGAGGACUACACAAAGUGACUCACUAUCCACUAAUCGGGUUUAAGUCAGUGGUGGGGUUAAAUCAUUAUAUGAUUUUAAGUCUCUAAACUUAGGUGUUUAAGUCCAUAAACUUAGGUGCUCCAACUUUUAUUAAAGUCUACCAUCUUCUAUUUAUCUCAAAUAGGGUUCCAAUAACCUUAAUCCUAUCCUAAUGAUCAACUAUUAAUUGGGACAUGGAAACAGCAGGGAAACAUUGUUUAAAUAGAUAGACAAAAAUACUAUGAGCAUUUUGCAAUUUGAAGCACCUAAUUUGGAGUUCAUAUGACAAAGUUAUGAAUUUUACAAGUUUAGGGAUUAAAAAUAUGCCCUAAAUACUUAUUUUGAAUUAAAUAAAAGGUCCGAGGACCUAACUGCGAGAAUCCAUGGACGGCGGGUUAAUUUGCAGAAAGGCGGGGGUCUCUUCAAGAAAACGCGCGGGCGAAGGGGUAUCGGGCUCCUACGGCCGUCGGAUCUCAGAUCAACGCGCAGGAUUAGAUCCGCGGGCGGGCGCGCGAGCGCGCGGUGGCCUGAGCGGCUGACAGGCGGGGCCAGGCGGGCAGCGCGGGGCGGCGGGCUGACAGGCGGGGCCAGGCGGGCAGAGCGAGCGCAAGCGGCUGACCGGUGGGGCCCAAACGGCAGGGAGGCGGGGUGAGGGGGAAACGGCUCUGGGUCGUUGGAUCUCCGGUAGGCGGCCAGGAUUGGGCUCGGGCUAUUUAAAAUAGAGCCAUCCGAUCCGAGAUGGACGGCGGGGAUGGGGCGGCUGGCUUCUGUCCCCUUCUCCAGCCAGCUGAGGCAGCGGCGGCCGCACCCGCGGCGGAGAAGCUCGCCGGAGACAAGGGCGCGGGGGCUCUGCGGGUCCUUAGGGCGACCGGAGUGGCCUGGGAGGUUGGGGAAGGCGCGGGGAAUCUUCUGGCGGGAGCUAGGUUGGGACAGGGGCACCGGAGGGGGGCGGUUCACGGCGAAGCGGCUCGGCGGCGGCGUUAAUCGACUCCGACGAACAAUUAAGCGCAGCAGAGAGCCAUACAAAGGUCGAUAGGGGGCGGGAGAGGUUCCUUACCUCAAGGCGGGCUCCGGGGACUCCUCGGUGGCGGCAAUGGCGCGACGGCGGCCCGGGGCGACGGUGGCGGACCUCUGCGGCUGCAUGGAGGACGGCGGGUGAGCGCGGACAGGGGAAAUUAGAGAGGGGGAGGAGGAAUUGGGGCGUGUCCCGGGUUGCGGACGCCGAGGCGAAGCUCACCGUGGCAGAGGGCACGGCGGGGCUCCAACGUCGACGGAGAAACGUGCUCGGGACGGCGGCGGUUUAAUGGCGGCGGUGCUCUGGCGUGUGCGCGACGUGGGGGAGGUUGGAGAGGGGUCUGCAGGUGCGCAAAUGAGGGAGGGGGUGAGGGCGAGCGUGGUUCUGGGCUCAAGUAGCCGGGGGGCGGGGUGGUUGCGAGCUUCACGCGCGACGUGGGCGCGGAGACCGCGGCAACGCGCAGCUCGGGCGGCGGUUACGCGAAGACGGCGGAGCUGACAGCUCGGGCCCGCGAGCAGAGAGAGAGAGGAAAGCGGGCGCGGGCGCGGAGAAGGCGGCUGGCGCUGACGGGCGGGCCCGCCAGGACAGAGAGAGAAAGGGGGAAGAGGCGCGCGCGGGAUGGGCCUGGUGGGCCGAAAGGCCGAGGGGGCGGGGGGAGUGGGCUUCUUUUCCUUUUUCUUUUUAUUCUGGAAUUUGUUUUUCCUUUUCUUUUUAUUUAUUCUAUUUGAUUCAAAUCCAAAUAAGCCACAAACUCAAAUUAGACUUUCCAAGAAUUAUGCACCAAACAAAAGUGAAAUCUAGGGUUCAACAUGAUGCAACAAUUCAUACUCCCUUGUAGUUUAACCCACUAAAUUAUAAUUACAAAUAAGAAUAACCACCCUUUUCCUAUAGAAAUGAGAAAGAGGAGAUUGGGGAAAAGUGAGAAAAGAGAAGUAACACCUGAAUUUGUGAAUAUGAGCAAAGAAAUUUUAUACCCCCAAAUUCAGGGUGUUACACAACGCAAGGUAAAGUGUAGAUGUGCUCUAACUCGGCUUAGAUUGCAGCUACACGUUUUUCAUCCACAAGGCUUGGUUGCACAUGGAAAAAGAAAGAGAGAAAAAUGUAGACGCAGGAUCGGGAGAAAAACAUUCAAUGUAGAACUAGAUAGAAUAAAAUAGUUAAAGAAAAAUAAAGGAACUAAAUUUUCUUUUGCACACUUAACAUGAAUGGAGUUGUAGUAUCUGAGAUCCCAAAUUUAAUUUGUUCCAAGAUGCAGAACAAAAUUGUGAGAUUCAUAUUGGUUACAUAUGGACAAAAGUAGAUAAGAAAAAUAGUACAAAGUUAGUGGUCUACCAUGGAGGGCACAUGUGCCUUAAUUGGUAGACUACACAACGGUACUCGACCGACCAAGUGUGUCGGUCGAAAGCCUGACGCAGCAAUGUGUCGAGAGCGUCGUGGAAGUGACAAUCGCGAGCGGCGUCACGAGUGAUGGGUCGGGUGACCCAUCCUUCCGGCUCCUGCUCCUCCGAAGGCUCUGUGCUGUGGCUCGAACUGCCACCGUCGUCGUCUCCUCCAACAGCUGAGGUGCGUGUGGUGGUGCAUGGGGCACCUCUAGCUGGGGCACAGGGGAGGGAUGCCUCCCAGACUCCACCUCCUACUAAGGCGAGGGGAAGAGUCCUGCUGCUCUCUCUCCUGACGUUGGUGUUCCUGAUCCUCGCGCAGGCGGUGGUGCAGCCUCUCUAGGUGACUCGACUGUUCGGACAUCGUCCGACGAAGUGGAUGCUCCGUAAGGUGAGAGGACAGGAAAGGGAUCUCUGACUUACAUGCGGUGCACCUAAGAUGGACCAUCUACAAAAGAUGUCGUAAGCAUAAGAGUAAGAACAUAACUAUAUGACCAACAAGUAAACCAUAAGCGGAAAUAAUUUUUUUGCAAGGUGUAGUAUAUAUAUAGUAGUAUAACAUAGAAUUGGUCGAGAUGACCAACUUUUGAAGUGACACCAAGGGUCAAGGUGAGAAUGAUGGUCUAUAGUCCUUAAAAACCAUUCUAUUCUAGGUUAGCGGUCCUACAUUCAGCAAGACUUUGAUACCACUUAUGUCACACCCGGUUUUAGAAGGCAAACCGAAUGCGGAUUAUGUACGUACCAAGAUCAGAAAUUCACGUACACAACAAUUACAUAAUUGAACAUCAUCACACAUUGCUCAAAAUAAUAGUGGAAAUAAGUAUUUUAUUACAUCAUAAUGUCUGAAACAUCCACAAAGUCAUUAACUUAAACCAUAAUCAAAGUGCUGAACGAAACACGGUACGAUAAGGCCUUCACAGGCAGCUGACUGGGCGUUUGCCGCUAAUCUAAUCUAGAACUCGUCGAAGUCCUAAAACUCUUGAAAGUCCUCCAUGUUGCCUUCAUCUUCUCCUGAGCACUGGUUGCAAUGGGGAUAACCUGAGGUUUGGUGUUUUUAAGCAAGGGUGAGUACACAUCAACAUACUCAGCAAAUAUCCCGUUUGGCUAAAGUGGACUAGCUGUAUGUGGGGGAAAUCUCGAACUAGUUGCUUUUAGUUGGUCAGGUAUUUAUUACUAGUAGAGAUGCAAGUUUUAGCAAUAAUCCCAAGUUAUUAACCCAAAUGGUACUCCCUCCAAGAGAAAAUCCUAGAAACCAUAAUUAUAAUCAUCAUCAUUAAGCAUCAUCAUAAAGAUAUCCAGAGUAACUCUAAUCAAAGGAGCUCCCAAGGUUGCUCAUAACCGUGAGCUCGGCUGAUAUACCAGUUUCUAACCCUCUACGGAGGUUGCACACUUUACCCACGAGUCGUGAUCCCUUCCCAGCCUGGGUUAUAUAAACCGAUCUUCACUAUCGAGGUGAAUGGCCAGGGAUUCACUAUGUAGCCUUUACAAAGAUUCCCCAGAGGUCAUAGCUGCCCGUUAGUUUUCUCCACUUUGAUAAACAUGAUACCUCUCCCCAUAGGAAGGGUGACUAACAAAAGCAACACGAAAGAACCUCGGCACCAAGCCUCGACAGAGCAAGUACUGUGCUCGGACCCCAUUGAUGGCAGGACGGCGAAGCCCACUACGCCUCAAGUUCCUCUAAUUAGUCAGCUAAGGGUGUCCCAUACUACCCUCAUGGUUGUACUGUUUUCUCGGGUGGUCAUCCAACGAACAGGUCCUUACGGAGAGGUACUCGGGAAACAGCCCGGGUCCCCUAAAGUGAUACAAGUUUAUCAUCAUAAUCAAGAUAUCAUCAUCGCAUCAUAAAUAUUCUCAUCAUGUUCAUUUAUUAAAGUAAAGCAAUAUCAUAAUACUAAUCAUAGUAACCAACUUCCAAAGGAUAACCAAGGACAGGAAAAACAAGACGCUAGUCAAUCCUUAGGUAGAUCAUGGUAUGCAGGAUAAUAAAUUAUAAAGUAAGUAGGACAUAAUGGGUUAGAGAACACUUGCCUUCACCAGGUUGCAGCUCAGAGAAAUCUCCUGCAACACACUCGGGAACCACGAACUGCUCGUUGUCUACGUAAAGCAAUCAUUCAUUCAACACACAUGGGGAAUAACAAAAGAACAGUACACCAAACAUAUGCAACAAAGUAAACACAGGUUCAAUAGCAAGGUAAAUACACAUAGGUGCAUUCUAGGUUUGGGGUAGGUCACUAUGCCAAGUGAUCUAUUGUUCUCUAAUUAAGCCUAUCUUAGUCAAUAACUUCCAUAAAUAAAGUUAUUUCAGGGAUGGUGAAAGGGAAAUGGCCUCAACAUUUCCUAUAAUCGUUUUUAGUGUUUGACGUCCAUCAGAAACCAUGUGGACUAACUAGUUUGCCUAGUUGAUAUUUUUCUCAGGUACAAAAAGUUCAUAUACACAUACAAAGAAAAUGACCAUGGGACAAUUCUACAAGUUUGGAGCAAAACAGACUUGCUGCAGCCAGUGGUGCACCAGACUGUCCGGUGCCUUGGCUGGAGCACUCGACGAACUGACCGCUCUCGGGAAUUCUCGGCGCUCGUCCACUAAAAAUCACCGGAUUGUCCGGUGUGCCAUCGGAUUAUCCGGUGAGCCCUCGGUGCAAUGGUCGACUCCGCCAACGAUCGACUGCGGGACUACACCCGCAGUCUGAAGCGUCAGAAGUCAAAAGACAGUCUACGACGUCAGGUCGCACCGGACUGUCCGAUGUGCCACCGGACUAUCCGGUGCACCACGAGGAUAGAAGUCUUCAACGGCCAACAGCUCCAAACCCUAACGGUCGGCUGACGCGACACGCACAGGAUAGUGAACAGUGCUAUGUUCGGUGCACCACCGGACUGCCCGGUGUGCCUAUCGACAGAGAAGUCAGCCAAUGGCUAGAGUAGUGGUUGGGGCUAUAAAUACCCGCUAACCACCACCAUUCAAGCCAUCCAAGUAUACCACUCUUCAUUCAAUACAAGAGCAAAGAAUACACUCCAAAGACACAUUCAAAGCUAUUUGAUCCUCUCCAAAUUCCAUAAUCAAGUCAAGUGAUCAAAAGUGUUUAGUGACUUGAAAGAGGGUGAUUUGUGUUUCUUUUGUUGCUCUUGUUGCUUGGUUGCUUUCUUCUUCUCCUGAUCUUUCCAAGUGUUUUGUAAAGCAAGCAAGAGACACCUAAUUGUGUGGUGAUCCUUGCGGGGUCUUAGUGACCCGUGAGAUUAAGAAGAAGCACUCAACCAGUCUAGGUGACCGAUUGAGAGAGGGAAAGGGUUGAAAUAGACCCGGCCUUUGUGGUCUCCUCAACGGGGAGUAGGUUCAUUGGAACCGAACCUCGAGAAACAAACCAUCGUGUUCACUUGUGUUGAUCUUCACCACUCGAUUUGUUUCUUCCCUCUCCCCUCUCUUUAAUGUUCUCUUGCUCAUAUUGUUUUGAGUUAGCUCCCAAAGUUAUCCGCAUUGAUUGAGCAACUCAUAGCAAGAAGAUCUUUCGCACUCUGAAUUCAUAAUUCUUUAUUUCUAACCCUAACCUCGGGCGAAGUGAGUGUUCAAAGUUUAUAAUUCACAGGUUACACCUAUUCACCCCCUCUAGGCGACUUUCAAUUGGUAUCAGAGACUGGUACUUCAUUAGAGUCUACAACUCGAACUGAUGUCGGGAGAACACGCCAAAAAGGAGAUGGUCACUGGGUAAAAGUCUGGAUCUUCGGGAAAGAAGAAUGAAGAAAGGACUCCGUCAAAGAAGGCCGGCGACAAGCACAAGGAGCACAAGGAGGAAUCCGACGGCUCCAUCAAGUCACAUAGGAAGGGUUACAAGAAGAAAAGAAGAUGAAGAAGGUGGUCUACUACGAGACCGAUUCUUCCCCACCUUCCACCUCCGGCGCCGAGUCCACAUCUUCAAAGCGCCAAGAGCUUAAGAAGUAUAUUAAGAUGCCUCUUCGCUAUCCUCGCAUCUCUAAACGUGCUCCCUUACUUUCCGUUCCCCUAGGCAAACCACCAUAUUUUGAUGGUGAAGAUUAUUGUAUGUGGAGUGAUAAAAUGAGGCACCAUCUAACCUCACUCCACAAAAGUAUUUGGGAUAUUGUUGAGUUUGGAGCGCUGGCACCAUAGGUAGGCGACGAGGACUACGACUCCGAUGAGGCCGCCCAAAUAAGGCACUUCAACUCCCAAGCCACCUGCAUACUCCUCGCUUCCUUGUGUAGGGAGGAGUACAACAAGGUGUAAGGGUUGAAGAGUGCCAAAGAAAUUUGGGACGUCCUCAAGAUGGCACAUGAAGGGGACGAGGUGACCAAAAUCACCAAAUGCGAAAUGAUCUAGGGAGAACUCGGUCGGUUCUUCCUCAACAAGGGAGAAGAGCCACAAGCAAUGUACAACUAGCUCAAGACGAUGGUGAACCAAGUCUGCAACCUUGUGAGCACCAAGUGGGAUGACCAUGAAAUGGUCAAGGUUAUUUUAAGAUCUCUUGUCUUUCGUAAUCCCACUCAAGUGCAACUAAUCCGUGGAGAUCUUAGAUAUAAACAGAUGUCUUCCGAGGAGGUAAUUGGCAAGUUUGUGAGCUUUAAACUUAUGAUCAAAGACUCCAAACAUAUUGUCAACUUGGAGCAAGGCGCCACCUCCACACCCGAGGUGCAACCCGUUGCGUUCAAAGCAACAGAAGAAAAGAAGGAAGAGUCUACACCAUCAAGUAGGCUCCCAGUCGACGCAUCCAAGCUUGACAACGAGGAGAUGGCUCUUAUCAUCAAGAGCUUCCGGCAAAUCCUCAAGCAAAGGAAGGGGAAGGACUACAAACCCCGCUCCAAGAGGGUUUGCUACAGAUGUGGUAAGUCCAGUCAUUUUAUUGCUAAAUGUCUAUAUACAAGUGAUAGUGACAGGGACGACGACAAGAAAGGGAAGAAGAAGAUGGAGAAGAAAAUGUAUUACAACAAAAAGAAGGGUGACGAGGCGCAUAUGGGCCAGGAAUGGGACUCCGACGAGAGCUCCACCGACUCCUCCUCUGACGAGGAUGGCAUCAACAUUGCCGUCAACAAAGGCCUUCUCUUCCCCAACGUCGACCACAAAUGCCUCAUGGCUAAGGAUAGCAAAAAGAAGAAGGUAUAUUCUAGAGAUACCCCCAAAUACACUACUUCCGAUGAUGAGGGUACCUCUAGUGAAGAUGAUGGUGAUUUGACCUCUCUUUUUGCAAACCUUACCAAAGAGCAAAAGAAGAAAAUUAAUGAAUUAAUAGAAACCAUUAACGAGAAGGAUGAUAUCUUGGAAUGCCAAGAGGACUUGCUCGUUAAGGAAAAUAAAAAGUUUGUUAAGCUAAAGGAUGCCUAUGCUCUUGAAGCUGAAAAAUGCCAAAACUUGACUAAAGAGCUAGACAUAUGCAAUGAUUCAAUUUCUUGUCUUAGAACUGAAAAUGUUAGUUUGAUCGCUAAAAUUGAAGAGUUGAAUACUUGCAAAGUUUCUACAUCUACUAUUGAGCAUGUUACCAUUUGCACUAGAUGUAGAGAUGUUAAUGUUGAUGCUAUGAAUGAUCACAUUGCUAUGCUUAAAUAACAAAAUGAUCACAUAGCUAAAUUAAAUGCUAAAAUUGCCGAGCAUGAGCUAGAGAAUGAAAAAUUUAAAUUUGCUAGCAAUAUGCUUUAUAAUAGGAGACGCCCUAGUAUUAAGGAUGGCAUUGGCUUCCAAUCUGGGAGCCAAAGCAACAUCAAACUUAAUGCCCCUAGAAACAAGCUUUCUAAUUUUGUAAAGGGUAAGGUCCCAUGGUUCAGGAUAGGGAAGGUUACAUUCUAUAUCCUGAGAACUAUCCUGAGCACAAGAUUAGGAAAAUUCAUGCUAAGAAAUCUCAUUCUAUUUCUCAUCAUGCUUUUAUGUAUAGUAAUGAGGCUUCUAGCUCUAAGCAUAGAACUCAUAUCAAAAUGCCUAAGAAAAAAAGAUUGUUAAUGCAUCAAAUGAACAUAGCAUUUCAUUUAAGACUUUUGAUGCAUCUUUUGUGCUUACUAAAAAAUUAGGCAAGGUAGUUGCCAAAUAUGUCGGGGGCAAACACAAGAGCCCAAAGACUUGUGUUUGGGUACCCAAGGUGCUUGUUUCUAAUGUAAAAGGACCCAAGGCCAUUUGGGUACCUAAGAACAAGACCUAAAUCUAUGUUGUAGGUUUAUGCAUUUGACAAAACAAGUUGGAUAAUCGACAGCGGGUGCACAAACCAUAUGACAGGGGAGAAAAGGAUGUUCUCUUCAUAUGAGAAAAAACGAUGAUCCCCAAAGAGCAAUCACAUUCGGCGAUGGAAAUCAAGGUUUGUGAGAGCACCUAGAGGGGGGUGAAUAGGUGAUCCUGUAAAACUUCAAAACUUAAGCCACAAAAACUUGUUAAGUGUUAGCACAAUUAUGGCCAAGUGGCUAGAGAGGAGUCAAAACACAAUAACCACAAGAAAUCAAUCACAGAGAUGACACGGUGGUUAUCCCGUGGUUCGGCCAAGUACAAAACUUGCCUACUCCACGUUGUGGCGUCCCAAUGGACGAGAGUUGCACUCAACUCCUCUCAAGUGAUCCAAUGAUCAACUUGAAUACCACGGUGUUCUUGCUUUUCUUUUCUCAAUCCCGUUUGCGAGGAAUCUCCACAACUUGGAGCCUCUCGCCCUUACAAAAGAUGUUCACAGAGAAUCACGGAGCAAGGGAGGGAAUGAGCAACGCACACAAGACUUCAAAAGAUCAGAGCAACACGCACACAAGCAAUAAGAGCUCGCAACACAACUCAAAGAGUACACAACUCCACAAGAGCUCUAUAUGCUAUCACAAUGAAUCGAAUGCGCUAGAUCAAUGUCUUGGUGCUUAGAAAGGUUGUAGGAAUGCUUGGUGUACUCCUCCAUGCGCCUAGGGGUCCCUUUUAUAGCCCCAAGGCAGCUAGGAGCCGUUGAGAACACAACUGGAAGGCUAUCCUUGCCUUCUGUCGUCGGGAGCACCGGACAGUCCGGUGCACACCGGACACUGUCCGGUGCCCGAUUUGUUUCCAUACAAAGCUCAUCAGACUGUUGCUUUCUGAUGCAGAUCUGCGCACAGUUGGCGCACCGGACAUGUCCGGUGCACACCGGACAGUCCGGUGUACCUUUCCGACCGUUGGCACGGCCACGUGUCGCGCGCCGAUCGCGCGGCCGACCGUUGGCCCGGCCGACCGUUGGCUCACCGGACAGUCCGGUGCACACCGGACAGUCCGGUGAAUUUUAGCCGAAGUCGUCGGAGAAAAACCCGAGAGCGGCUGGUUUGCUCCACGCUGGUCUGGCGCACCGGACACUGUCCGGUGCACACCGGACAGUCCGGUGCCCCACCCCGAAACAGCCUUUGGCUGCACACAGCCACUCUCCACUUCCUUUCUUUUCUUCUUCUUUCUGUUUCUUACACUUAGAUAAAUAUAUUAGUACACAAAACCAAUGUACUAAGACUUAGAAACAUACCUUUGUUGCACUUUGUUCAUCCAUGGGCAUUGAUUCACAUUUAAGCACUUGUGUUGGCACUUAAUCACCAAAAUACUUAGAAAUGGCCCAAGGGCACAUUUCCCUUUCAAUCUCCCCCUUUUUGGUGAUUUAUGCCAACACAACAUAAAGCAACUAGAACAAGUGCAAAAUCACUCCAAAUAAAACUCAAAUUGAUUUUGAUUCAAUUUUGGCAUAUAUGGAUCAUCCUUUGCCACCACUUGGUUUGUUUUUGCAAAUCAAACUCAAAUCUCUAUCUCUAAGUCAAACACACAUGUUGAAGCAUAAAGAGAGUCAUUCCAAAAGAGAUUGAUCAAAGAUUUCAAAAACUCCCCCUAUUUCCCAUAAUCAAUACUUCUCCCCACAAGAAGCCAACUUUUGACAAGAGAGACAAUAAUAGACAAUAAAAGCGUUUGACAAAACAAAAACUCUAUUCUACUAUUUUCAAAAUCUCUUGAGUGGUAGCUGAUCCAUUUAUCGCUUUGGCCUUUAUUUUCUCCCCCUUUGGCAUCAAGCACCAAAACGGGAUCAAUCUUGGCCCUAUAACCCCAUUGCCUCACCAAAAUUUUCAAUUAAGAGCAAAUGGCAGUAAGAGUUCAUGAGAUGGACUUGGAAUGAGUUACCCUCUCAUCGGAGUGCAGUGGAAGUCUUGCAUGAUCCAAGUCCACCUUUUCCCUUUCAAUUCUCCUUUGAGACUAAAUCACAACAAACUCAAGCAUAUGGUUAGUCUCAAAGGAUCAAGUUGUAACACAUCUCCCCCUAAACAUGUGCAUCACUUUGCAACGGACUUGUGAGGUCCAGGGAGUGUUUGUACAACUUGAGCACCAUAAUAAGCAACAAAAUGCAGAAUGAACAUGAUCAAAGGCAUAAGCACAUGUAUGCUACAAUUCAAUCCAAGUUCCGCGAAUCUAAGACAUUUAGCUCACUACGCAGCCUGCAAAAGGUCUUCUCAUCUAGAGGCUUGGUAAAGAUAUCGGCUAGCUGGUUCUCGGUGCUAACAUGAAACACUUCGAUAUCUCCCUUUUGCUGGUGGUCUCUCAAAAAGUGAUGCCGGAUGUCUAUGUGCUUUGUGCGGCUGUGCUCAACAGGAUUCUCCGCCAUGCGGAUCGCACUCUCAUUAUCACAUAGGAGUGGGACUUUGCUCAGAUUGUAGCCAAAGUCCCUGAGGGUUUGCCUCAUCCAAAGUAGUUGCGCGCAACACUGUCCUGCGGCAACAUACUCGGCCUCAGCGGUGGAUAGGGCGACGGAUGUUUGUUUCUUAGAGUUCCAUGACACCAGGGACCUUCCUAAGAAUUGGCACGUCCCCGAUGUACUCUUCCUAUCGACCUUACAUCCAGCAUAGUCGGAGUCUGAGUAUCCAACUAAGUCAAAGGUAGACCCCUUUGGAUACCAGAGCCCGAAGCAAGGCGUAGCAACCAAAUAUCUAAGAAUUCGCUUCACUGCCACUAAGUGACACUCCUUAGGAUCGGAUUGAAAUCUAGCACACAUGCAUACGCUAAGCAUAAUAUCCGGUCUACUAGCACAUAAGUAAAGUAAUGACCCUAUCAUUGACCGGUAUGCUUUUUGAUCUACGGACUUACCUCCUUUGUUGAGGUCGGUGUGUCCGUCGGUUCCCAUCGGAGUCUUUGCGGGCUUGGCAUCCUUCAUCCCAAACCGCUUUAGCAGAUCUUGCGUGUACUUCGUUUGGGAGAUGAAGGUGCCGUCCUUGAGUUGCUUCACUUGGAACCCAAGGAAGUAGUUCAACUCGCCCAUCAUCGACAUCUCGAAUUUCUGCGUCAUCACCCUGCUAAACUCUUCACAAGACUUUUGGUUAGUAGAACCAAAUAUUAUGUCAUCGACAUAAAUUUGGCACACAAACAAAUCACCAUCACAUGUCUUUGUAAAAAGAGUUGGAUCGGCUUUCCCAACCUUGAAAGCAUUAGCUAUUAAAAAGUCUCUAAGGCAUUCAUACCAUGCUCUUGGGGCUUGCUUAAGUCCAUAGAGCGCCUUAGAGAGCUUACACACAUGGUCGGGGUACCGUUCAUCCUCGAAGCCAGGGGGUUGCUCUACGUACACCUCCUCCUUGAUUGGCCCGUUGAGGAAAGCGCUCUUCACAUCCAUUUGGUACAACCUGAAAGAAUGGUGAGCGGCAUAUGCUAGCAAGAUACGAAUGGACUCUAGCCUAGCCACAGGAGCGAAAGUCUCCUCAAAGUCCAAACCUGCGACUUGGGCAUAACCUUUUGCCACAAGUCGAGCCUUGUUCCUCGUCACCACUCCGUGCUCGUCCUGUUUGUUGCGGAACACCCACUUGGUUCCCACAACAUUUUGCUUCGGACGAGGCACCAGUGUCCAAACUUCAUUGCGCUUGAAGUUGUUGAGCUCCUCCUGCAUGGCCAAUACCCAAUCCGGAUCUAGCAAGGCCUCCUCUACCCUGAAAGGUUCAAUAGAAGAGACAAAAGAGUAAUGCUCACAAAAAUUAACUAAUCUAGAUCGAGUAGUUACUCCCUUGCUAAUAUCACCCAGAAUUUGGUCGACGGGAUGAUCCCUUUGAAUCAUCGCUCGAACUUGGGUUGGAGGUGCCGGUUGCGCUUCUUCCUCCAUCACUUGAUCAUCUUGUGCUCCCCCUUGAUCAAGCGCCUCCACUUGAGGUACCUGUUCGUCAUCUUCGGUUGGGGGAUGCACCAUAGUUGAGGAAGAAGGUUGAUCUCGUUCAUCUUGUUCCUGUGGCCGUACUUCUCCAAUCGCCAUGGUCCGUAUAGCGGCCGUCGGAACGUCUUCUUCAUCUAUAUCAUCACAAUCAACAACUUGCUCUCUUGGAGAGCCAUUAGUCUCAUCAAAUACAACGUCGCUAGAGACUUCAACCACACCCGAUGAUUUGUUGAAGACUCUAUACGCCUUUGUAUUUGAGUCAUAACCUAAUAAAAACCCUUCUACAGCUUUGGGAGCAAACUUAGAAUUUCUACCCUUCUUUACUAGAAUGUAGCAUUUACUCCCAAAUACACGAAAGUACGAUACAUUGGGUUUGUUACCGGUUAGUAGCUCAUACGACGUCUUCUUGAGGAGGCGAUGAAGGUAGACCCUGUUGAUGGCGUGGCAAGCAGUGUUAACGGCUUCCGUCCAAAAGCACUCGGGGGUCUUGAACUCUCCUAGCAUCGUCCUCGCCAUAUCGAUGAGCGUCCUGUUCUUCCUCUCUACCACACCAUUUUGCUGUGGUGUGUAGGGAGCGGAGAACUCGUGCUUGAUCCCUUCCUCUUCAAGGAACUCCUCCACUUGAAGGUUCUUGAAUUUGGAUCCGUUGUCGCUCCUUAUCUUCUUCACUUUGAGCACUCCUGAGGAAGCAUUUGAGAGUCCCUUGGGUUUCAGACUUAUCCUGCAAAAAGAACACCCAAGUGAAGCGGGAAAAAUCAUCAACAAUAACUAAACCAUACUUACUCCCUCCUAUGCUCAGAUAGGCGACAGGUCCGAAGAGGUCCAUGUGCAGCAGCUCCAGGGGUCUUGAAGUGGUCAUCACGUUCUUGCCGUGAUGCGCUCCUCCCACUUGUUUACCUGCUUGACAAGCUGCACAAGGUCUAUCUUUUUCGAAAUGCACGUUAGUCAAACCUAUCACGUGUUCUCCCUUUAGAAGCUUGUGAAGGUUCUUCAUCCCCACAUGUGCUAAGCGGCGAUGCCACAGCCAGCCCAUGCUAGUCUUAGCUAUUAAGCAUGCAUCUAGACCGGCCUCUUCUUUUGCAAAAUCAACUAAAUAAAGUUUGCCGUCUAAUACACCCUUAAAAGCUAGUGAACCAUCACUUCUUCUAAAGACAGACACAUCUACAUUUGUAAAUAGACAGUUAUAUCCCAUGUUGCAUAAUUGACUCACAGAUAGCAGAUUAUAUCCAAGAGACUCAACUAAAAACACAUUAGAUAUGGAGUGCUCAUUAGAAAUUGCAAUUUUACCUAAACCUUUUACCUUGCCUUGAUUCCCAUCACCGAAUAUAAUUGAAUCUUGGGAAUCUUUAUUCUUGACGUAGGAGGUGAACAUCUUCUUCUCCCCCGUCAUAUGGUUUGUGCAUCCGCUGUCGAUAAUCCAGCUUGAACCCCCGGAUGCAUAAACCUGCAAGGCAAAUUUAGGCUUGGGUCUUAGGUACCCAACUCAUGUUGGGUCCUACAAGGUUAGCACAUAUAUUCUUAGGGACCCAAAUGCAAGUUUUAUCUCCCUUGCAUCUUGCCCCUAACUUCCUAGCAAUUACCUUCUUGCCCUUUCUACAAAUAGCACAGGGAGCAUUGCAAGUAUAAUAAAUGGUAGAAGGUUCAUUUGCUACUUUCCUAGGAGCAUGAAUAACAUUCUUUUUAGGAACAACAUUUUUCCUAGUAACAUUUCUAUCAUAUACAUAAGAAGAACUAGGAGCAAGCAUGGCAUGAGAAUCAUAAACAUAUGAGUCAAAAGCAUCAUAACUUCUAUUUGCAUUUCUAGUAUGUCUUCUAUCAUGAUACAAAAAAGCAUGGUUCUUUUUAGUGCUACUAGCCAUAGGAGCCUUCCCUUUCUCCUUGGCGGAGAUAGGAGCCUUAUAGCUUGUCAAGUUCUUGACUUCUCUCUUGAAGUCAAGCCCAUCCUUAAUUGAGGGGUGUCUACCAACCGUGUAGGCAUCCCUAGCAAAUUUUAGUUUAUCAAAAUUACUCUUGCUAGUCUUAAGUUGAGCAUUAAGACUAGCUAAUUCAUCAUUCAAUUUUGAAAUAGAAACUAAGUGUUCGCUACAAGCAUUAAUAUCAAUAUCCUUACACCUAGUGCAAACUUCAACAUAUUCAACACAAGAGUUGGAUUUAUUUGCUUCUACUAGUUUAGCAUUUAAAUCAUCGUUUAUGCUCUUUAAGUUAGAAAUAGAAUCAUGGCAUGAUGACACUUCACAAGCAAGCAUUUCAUUCCUCUUAAUUUCUAAUGCAAGGGAUUUUUGAGCCUCUACAAACUUAUCAUGUUCUUCAUACAACAAAUCCUCUUGCUUUUCUAAAAGUAUAUUCUUUUCAUUCAAGGCAUCAAUUAAUUCAUUAAUUUUGUCUAUCUUAGAUCUAUCUAAGCCCUUGAAUAAACAUGAAUAAUCUACUUCAUCCUCACUAGAUUCAUCAUCACUAGAAGAAUCAUAAGUAUUAGCAUUACGAGUGAUUACCUUCUUUUCCCUUGCCAUGAGGCAAGUGUGAUGCUCGUUGGGGAAGAGAGCCGAUUUGUUGAAGGCAGUGGCGGCGAGUCCCUCAUUGUCGGAGUCGGAGGAGGAGCAAUCCGAAUCCCACUCCUUGCCGAGAUGCGCCUCGCCCUUGGCCUUCUUGUAAUUCUUCUUCUUUUCCCUCUUGUUUCCCUGUUCCUGGUCACUGUCGUUAUCGGGGCAGUUAGCGAUAAAAUGACCAAUCUUACCGCACUUGAAGCAUGAGCGCUUCCCCUUUGUCUUGUUCUUGCUUGGCUGCCCCUUGUGACCCUUCAGCAUCGUCUUGAAUCUUUUGAUGAUAAGAGCCAUCUCUUCAUCAUUGAGCCCGGCCGCCUCAACUUGCGCCACCUUGCUAGGUAGCGACUCCUUGCUCCUUGUUGCCUUUAGAGCAAUGGGUUGAGACUCGUGGAGUGGACCGUUCAACGCGUCGUCGACGUAUCUUGCCUCCUUGAUCAUCAUCCGCCCGCUCACGAAUUUUCCAAGUACUUCUUCGGGCGUCAUCAUUGUGUACCUGGGAUUCUCACGAAUAUUGUUCACGAGAUGAGGAUCAAGAACGGUAAAUGACCUGAGCAUUAGGCGGACGACGUCGUGAUCCGUCCAACGCGUGCUUCCGUAGCUCCUUAUCUUGUUGAUAAGGGUCUUGAGCCGGUUGUAAGUUUGAGUUGGCUCUUCUCCCCUUAUCAUGGCGAAUCGUCCAAGCUCGCCCUCCACCAACUCCAUCUUGGUGAGCAUGGUGAUGUCGUUCCCCUCGUGAGAGAUCUUGAGGGUGUCCCAUAUCUGCUUGGCAUUAUCCAAGCCGCUCACCUUAUUGUACUCUUCCCUGCACAAAGAUGCUAAGAGAACAGUAGUAGCUUGUGCAUUUUUAUGAAUUUGUUCAUUGAUAAACAUAGGGCUAUCCGAGCUAUCAAAUUUCAUUCCAUUCUCUACAAUCUCCCAUAUGCUUGGAUGGAGAGAGAAUAAAUGACUACGCAUUUUGUGACUCCAAAAUCCGUAGUCCUCCCCAUCAAAGUGUGGAGGUUUACCAAGAGGAAUGGAAAGCAAAUGCGAAUUCGAACUAUGUGGAAUACGAGAAUAAUCAAAUGAAAAGUUCGAAUUGACCGUCUUCCUGUAGUGGUCGUCGUCCUUUUGGGAAGAAGAGGAUUCGUCGCUGUCGUAGUAGACGAUCUCCUUGAUGCGCCUUGUCUUCUUCUUCUUCCCAUCUUUGCGCCUGUGGCCCGAGCCCGAGUCGUUGGACUUGUCAUCCCUUGGCUCGUUGACGAAGGACUCCUUCUCCUUGUCGUUGAUCACAAUUCCCUUCCCCUUAGGAUCCAUCUCUUCGGGCGGUUAGUCCCUUUCUUGAAGAGAACGGCUCUGAUACCAAUUGAGAGCACCUAGAGGGGGGGGGGUGAAUAGGUGAUCCUGUAAAACUUCAAAACUUAAGCCACAAAAACUUGUUAAGUGUUAGCACAAUUAUGGCCAAGUGGCUAGAGAGGAGUCAAAACACAAUAACCACAAGAAAUCAAUCACAGAGAUGACACGGUGGUUAUCCCGUGGUUCGGCCAAGUACAAAACUUGCCUACUCCACGUUGUGGCGUCCCAAUGGACGAGAGUUGCACUCAACUCCUCUCAAGUGAUCCAAUGAUCAACUUGAAUACCACGGUGUUCUUGCUUUUCUUUUCUCAAUCCCGUUUGCGAGGAAUCUCCACAACUUGGAGCCUCUCGCCCUUACAAAAGAUGUUCACAGAGAAUCACGGAGCAAGGGAGGGAAUGAGCAACGCACACAAGACUUCAAAAGAUCAGAGCAACACGCACACAAGCAAUAAGAGCUCGCAACACAACUCAAAGAGUACACAACUCCACAAGAGCUCUAUAUGCUAUCACAAUGAAUCGAAUGCGCUAGAUCAAUGUCUUGGUGCUUAGAAAGGUUGUAGGAAUGCUUGGUGUACUCCUCCAUGCGCCUAGGGGUCCCUUUUAUAGCCCCAAGGCAGCUAGGAGCCGUUGAGAACACAACUGGAAGGCUAUCCUUGCCUUCUGUCGUCGGGAGCACCGGACAGUCCGGUGCACACCGGACACUGUCCGGUGCCCGAUUUGUUUCCAUACAAAGCUCAUCAGACCGUUGCUUUCUGAUGCAGAUCUGCGCACAGUUGGCGCACCGGACAUGUCCGGUGCACACCGGACAGUCCGGUGUACCUUUCCGACCGUUGGCACGGCCACGUGUCGCGCGCCGAUCGCGCGGCCGACCGUUGGCCCGGCCGACCGUUGGCUCACCGGACAGUCCGGUGCACACCGGACAGUCCGGUGAAUUUUAGCCGAAGUCGCCGGAGAAAAACCCGAGAGCGGUUGGUUUGCUCCACGCUGGUCUGGCGCACCGGACACUGUCCGGUGCACACCGGACAGUCCGGUGCCCCAGCCCGAAACAGCCUUUGGCUGCACACAGCCACUCUCCACUUCCUUUCUUUUCUUCUUCUUUCUGUUUCUUACACUUAGAUAAAUAUAUUAGUACACAAAACCAAUGUACUAAGACUUAGAAACAUACCUUUGUUGCACUUUGUUCAUCCAUGGGCAUUGAUUCACAUUUAAGCACUUGUGUUGGCACUUAAUCACCAAAAUACUUAGAAAUGGCCCAAGGGCACAUUUCCCUUUCAGUUUGGUCAAAGGUUUGGGUAAACUUGCUAUAUCUCCUGACCAUUCCAUUUCUAAUGUUUUUCUUGUUGAUUCUUUAGAUUACAACUUUCUUUCUGUUUCUCAAUUAUGCAAAAUGGGCUACAACUGUCUUUUUACUGAUGUUGGUGUUACCGUAUUUUGAAGAAGUGAUGAUUCAAUAGCUUUUAAGGGAGUGUUAGAUGGUUAGCUAUAUUUAGUUGAUUUCAGUGAUAACAAUGCUGAACUAGACACUUGCUUAAUUGCUAAGACUAACAUGGGCUGGCUUUGGCAUCGCCAACUUGCUCAUGUUGGAAUGAAGAAUCUUCACAAGCUCCUAAAGGGGAACACAUUUUAGGACUAACCAAUGUUCAUUUUGAGAAAGACAAGAUUUGUAGUGCAUGUCAAGCAGGGAAGCAAGUUGGAGUUCAUCAUCCACACAAGAACAUCAUGACAACCGAAAAGGCCGCUUGAGCUACUUCACAUGGAUCUAUUCGUCCCGAUUGCUUACAUAAGCAUCGGUCGGAGUAAGUAUUGUCUUGUGAUUGUGGAUGAUUAUUCUCGCUUCACUUGGGUGUUCUGUUUGCAGGAAAAAUCUCAAACCCAAGAGACCUUAAAGAGAUUCUUGAGAUGGGUUCAAAAUGAGUUUGGAUUGAGAAUCAAGAAGAUUAAAAGCGACAAUGGAACGAAGUUCAAGAACUCUCAAAUUGAAGGAUUUCUUAAGGAGGAGGGCAUCAAGCAUGAGUUCUCUUCUCCCUACACACCUUAACGAAACAAUGUUGUGGAGAGAAAGAAUAGACCUCUCUUGGAUAUGGCAAGGACCAUGCUUGAUGAGUACAAGACACUGGAUCGGUUUUGGGCGGAGGCGAUUAACACUGCUUGCUACUCCAUCAACCUACUAUACCUUCACCGAAUCCUCAAGAAAACAUUGUAUGAACUCCUCACUGGUAAAAAGCCCAAUGUUUCUUAUUUUAGAGUUUUUGGGAGCAAAUGCUUUAUUCUUAUUAAAAGAGGUAGAAAUUCUAAAUUUGCUCCUAAAGCAGUAGAAGGCUUUUUACUUAGUUAUGACUCAAACACAAGGGCAUAUAGAGUCUUCAACAAGUCCACUGGAUUAGUUGAAGUUUCUUGUGACAUUGCGUUUGAUGAGAAUAAUGGCUCCCAAGUGGAACAAGUUGAUCUUGAUGAGUUAGAUGAUGAAGAGGCUUCGUGCGUCGUGCUAAGGAACAUGUCCAUUGGAGAUGUGUGUCCAAAAGAAUCCGAAAAGCCUUCACAAGCACAAGAUCAACCAUCAUCUUCCAUACAAGCAUCUCCACCAACUAAAGAUGAGGAAAUGGCUCAGGAGGAAGAGGACCAAGAUCAUGAAGAUGAGCCACCUCAAGGAGAGGACAUUGAUCAAGGGGGAGAUGAAGAUGAUCAAGAAAAGGAAGAUGAACAGAAGUUCAAGAUCAAAGACAACCGCACCCAAGAGUCCAUCAAGCAAUUCAAAGAGAUCACCCCGUCAACUCCAUACUUGGUGACAUUCACAAGGGGUAACCACUAGAUCUCGAGUGGCUCAUUUUUGUGAACAUUACUCUUUUGUGUCUUCUAUUGAGCCAUACAGGAUAGAGGAUGCACUUAGAGAUCCGGAUUGGGUGGUGGGAAUGCAAGAGGAGCUCAACAACUUCACGAGGAAUGAGGUAUGACAUUUAGUUCCACGUCCUAACCAAAAUGUUAUAGGUACCAAGUGGGUAUUCCGCAACAAACAAGAUGAGCAUGGUGUGGUGAAUAGGAACAAAGCCCGACUUGUUGCCAAAGGAUAUUCACAAGUCGAAGGUUUGGAUUUUGAUGAAACCUAUGCACCCAUAGCUAGGCUUGAGUCAAUUCGUAUAUUACUUGCCUAUGCUACUUACCAUGGCUUUAAGUUGUAUCAAAUGGAUGUGAAAAGUGCCUUCCUCAAUGGCCCUAUCAAGGAAGAGGUUUAUGUUGAGCAACCUCCCGGCUUUUAAGAUAGUGAGUACCCUUCACAUGUUUAUAAGCUCUCAAAGGCGCUUUAUGGGCUCAAACAAGCCCUAAGAGCAUGGUAUGAAUGCCUAAGAGACUUUCUUCUCACUAAUGGUUUUAAAGUCAGAAAAGUUGACCCUACUCUCUUCACUAAAAUAAUUGAUAAAGACUUGUUUAUAUGCCAAAUUUAUGUUGAUGAUAUUAUAUUUGGGUCUACUAACAAGUCAUCUUGUGAAGAGUUUAGUAGGAUUAUGAUAUAGAAAUUUGAGAUGUCCAUGAUGGGGGAGUUGAAGUAUUUCCUAGGAUUUCAAAUCAAGCAACUUCAAGAGGGCACCUUCAUCUUGCCAAACUAAGUACAUUCAAGAUAUACUGAAGAAUUUUGGAAUGAAGAAUGCCAAGCCCAUCAAGACUCCCAUGGGAACAAAUGGACAUCUCGACCUCGACACAUGAGGUAAACCUAUAGAUCAAAAGGUAUACCGGUCAAUGAUGGGAUCUCUACUCUAUUUAUGUGCUUCACGACCGGAUAUUAUGCUUUCAGUAUGCAUGUGUGCAGGGUUCCAGGCUAAUCCUAAGGAAGUUCACCUUAGGGCCGUGAAAAGAAUUAUGAGAUAUUUAGUUUACACUCCUAAGUUUGGGCUAUGGUAUCCCAAGGGAUCUACCUUUGAUGUAAUCGGGUAUUUUGAUGCUGACUAUGCCAGAUGUAAAAUUGAUAGAAAGAGCACAUCAGGGACUUGUCAGUUUCUGGGGAGAUCCCUAGUGUCUUGGGCUUCAAAGAAACAAAAUUUAGUAGCUCUAUCCACCACCGAAACUGAGUAUAUUGUUGCAGGACAUUGUUGUGCACAAUUACUCUGGAUGAGGCAAACCCUUAGGGACUAUGGCUACAAAUUGAGCAAAGUCCCUCUCCUAUGUGAUAAUGAGAGUGCAAUGCGCAUGAUGGAUAAUCACGUUGAACAUAGCCGCACUAAGCACAUAGACAUCCGGUAUCACUUUUUGAGAGAUCACCAACAAAAGGGGGAUAUCGAAAUUGCUUAUGUUAGCACCAACAACCAAUUAGCCGAUAUCUUCACCAAGCCCCUGGAUGAAAAGACAUUUAGCAAGCUUAGGAAUGAACUAAAUAUCAUAGAUUCUCAAAAUUUUGAUUGAAAUCUUGCACACAUUGCUCAUUUUAUACAUUUGAUCAUGUCAUAUCUCUUUCAUUUGGUACAAAUGCAUAUUUCUUAUUCUUCUUGUGCCCAAGCUAAGACUAAUGUGUUUCCAAGAAUAUUUCUAUGCUUAGUCUUAGAUUGAAAGGGAAAUGGAGUAAUCGGCAAAGGCAAGGCUUCCACUACGACUCUGUCGAUUUCAUAUAUCCUUGGCCCUUCUCAUGAACUGUAAUGCCCAAAAUUGUAAAUAAUGAAAAUAGAGGUGGUUCUCUUUAUGUGUAGCUCCCACUCACGAGCACAUGUGAACAAACACAUUUUAAGUGAGUAAUUUAACUACUAAGCUAUAAAAUAAAUCAUGCAUCAUGAUGGGGUUUAAUUGUGUGUGCAUUUAAUAAUAAUAAUAAUCACAUCAAUGUGGAUGCAUUAAUGUUCAAAAUGUGAGUUAAGACCUAAUUUGAAUAUCUAGAAAUGUGAAGUAGCCCAAGAAAAGAGGAGAAAGAAAAUCUUAAUUAUAAUGUGAAAGAAAAUAAUAUAAGUAGGUGUCCCUGUCCAUACUGAGGUCUUGGAAUUGUACAUAAAUUUAGGAAUAAAAUUUCCCAACCAAAUUUGAAUUUGAAAUUUAAUUCCAAAAUUUGAGAAAAUGAAACCAGAAAAGAAAAGAAAAAAGAAAGAAAAUGGAAAAUGGCCGGUGGGCUCAAAAUCCCUGAACUCGGCCCACCACACACACCUCCGCACGGCCCAACCCCGAAGGAACGACGCUGACAACUUUGGCCACGGGUUAGGCAUACCUCGACUGAGCGCUCGCCAUCCGUUGCUGGCAACUAGGGCCUCACCUGUCAGUCGCUCUCCACCUCACGCACAUCGCUGCUGCGUGGGACCCACGAGUCAUCCCUCACCUCCGCUAAAAUCGCAACCGCGCCGCCAUACCCGCCUCCUCCGCAUGCAUAAGGAGUCCGUUCCCUGAUUCUCACCUCUUGAGUCCACGCUCGGCCGCAAUACUGCGCUGGCACUCGGUUCCAUCCGCCACGCCCGUGCCCUAGUGAACUCGUCCAGUGAGCUCGCCAUUGGAGGAAGGAGCCGCCGCUGGGGACGUUGCGUCUGCGCGUCAGGAGUCAUGCGUCGACGGGUGCCAGGGUCAAGGUGGGGUGCUCUGCACGUAGUGGUGCUCUCCCUGGGCAAGAUCGGUGUUCGGUGGCGUCCGAAUUGCUUGCCGGUGUUUCCUUAGCCCCGCUGCUCUACCCCUCGCCGCGAUUGAGGCCUUCCUCUGCACGACGGCUGGUAAUAAUGCACCCAUGUGAUUCGUGUUAGUCCUAUGUUGCGUUUAGACGCCUCCGGGAUGGUCGUGGGGGUCCUACUGCGCAGAUCAGUCGGGCUCACCGGAGCUGACCGCCGCGGUCGAUGCUGCGCCGCCGCCUACAAGCUGGGGGAAAGGACGGUGCUUGUGCAUCGUUGGAUCGGGAACGAGUGACGGAGAUUUAGGCAAUCGUAACGAUUCGGCCCAGGCUAAUGUUUGUCGUAGAUCGUUGAUCGUAGGAUGGGGAGCUUGGGUUGAUGGUGGAUCCAUUUGGACCAUCGGAUCGGGAUCCGAGCGCUCUGGACCGCACUUUAAUUCACUCGUGGAGCUGAUUUAAUCAGGGUCGUUCACUUGCGAUCGGGCGGUCUGGGUUACAGGAUACCCCUUCGUCGUGGCUCAAUUGUCUAUGAGCCCCUUGGAAUUACUAAAAAAUAACCCGCAGUUCAUCGUGACUGUAGUCUAAGUCUAAGAAAUCUUGCACGCUAACCCCUGCGUUUCUCUGUUUUCUGAGCGCAGUCCAGGGAAAAAGAAAACCUGAGAAAAUCAAUUAGAAAAUGAUUUUUAGUAUAAAAUUAAUUGCAGAAACUUGUUUAAUUCCUAGAAAAUUCAUAUUAAGUUCAAAUUGAUCCAUUCCAGUGGCAUUAAUUUUGUAUUAAUAUUGUCUAUCAACUAGUAACUCUGUUUAGCCAUGAAACUUGGAUUAAAAUUGUUCACUUGAAUUAUUCUACACCAAGCACAUACGAACUUCGAAAAAUCAUAACUUAAAACCCAUAACUCCGAAUUUAGCGAUUCUUGUUCCUAUGAUCUUGUUUUGAUGCGUAGAUUAUUAUUAUGUAUUUUUAAUUCAUGCUUGGUGUGAUGUUAAUUUCUGCUAUACCAUGUUUGUUUGUACUGUUGCGAGUAGACGAGCAAGCCACAGAGGAUCCAGGUGUUUAGCAGGUAGAAGUUGCUGAGCAGGAGCUCAUUGAAGGCAAGUUGUGCCCUUGACCACUUUUAUUUACCCAAUAAUAUUCUUUAUAAUCAUUUUAUCAUGCAUAGCCUUAAUUUUGAUGGGACCCUAUAGGUCACCCUAGUCUGGUUAUCUUUAUACCUUGUUUACCCCUAAAUUUUUGGGUAGUCUUUGCUAUUGCUAUAUAUGGUUUGGGUGUUGAGAUAACUAUUACACAUGAUCAUUCUUUAUUACUGUUCUAUUUCUGUUCAUGAUAAGACAACUAAGUUAAUUGGAACAUCGAGCUUAACUUGAGAAACACGUGCCACCACAAGGGUGGAAUGAGACGCCCUUGGCUGACUAACUAGGAAAGCUAGUGGAGGACUACCUUACCCGAUAGGGGCAAGGGCAACAGGGGAGUAGGCGUGUAGGGAGGUUCCCGGGUUGAUUUUGCUGCGAUGGCGGUCAGACAGGGGAUUCCUGCAUUGCUCUUCCUAGAAACUGUAGCGGGUUUUCUGAAGCUAGUGGAACUUUGUAAAGGCCUCGUAGUGGAUCCCUAGCCAUUCACCUCGACAGUGUCUAAGAGCCUUGCAAACCCAGGCAACAUGGGAUACACAACUUGUGGGCACAGGGUACAACCUCUGCAGAGUGUAAAACUGGUAUAAUAGCCGUGCUCGAGGUCACGAGCAGCUCACGACUGUCGCAUGAUUAAAUUAUGGAAUUAAAUUCAAUUUAUCAUUUGCAUCGCAUUGAGAUUUAUUAUUAAUUUUGAUAUAUUAUUAUUCUGGUUGGUAUUUACUUACAUUUAGUUAAUGCUAAUAAAAUUUGACCAACUUAUUAAAAGCAAUGCUCAUCUUUAACCCCUAUUGUUGAUCAGCCUUACACUUCACAUGAACUCCCACCUUUGGUGAGUUCAUGCACAUUAUUCCCCACAACUUGUUGAGCUAUGAUCUUUUGUGAGCUCACACUUGCGAUAUAUAAACCCCCACAGGAGAAAAACAGGUGGUCCAGGAGGAGCCGUACAAUGAGGAGUACGAGUUGAUCUAGGUGGCGACUCCGAGUUAGCUUUAUGGCGCCAAGGAUGGACGUUUAGUUCGCUUUAUUAUUAUAAUUUAUUUUUGUAAGACUUCCUCUAUGUAAUAAUCACAUUUAUGAUUUUUGUGACAUUUAUCUCUAUACACUUUGUCAUUAUAUGUGUUGUUCGUCUUUGGCGCACAUAUGAGACGCACCCGGCUUUAUCCCUUAAAUCCGGGUGUGACAUGAACUUACCUUCUUAUCUUUAUUGACAAAUGCCUCUAGUUUUAUUCGUUUUUGGCGCUUAAUGCCAAAGGGGAGAAAUUAAUUGGCCAAAGCAAAAGGAUCGCACCACCACCCUGUUUUCUAAAAACUUUUUCAAAAAGAGGAGAAAUUAAUAGGCAUUUGCAAAAAUCCUCUUGACAGCUAGGGGGAGAACUUAUUCAGGGGAGCUUUUAUUUAGCCAAAGGAAAAGCAUUUGAAACAGGGGGAGAAUCUUUCAAAACUUGAAAAAGCUUUUAGAAAUCAUAUUAUGAUACUAUUGGAUAAUUGCAAAUGAAUUUGAAAAGACUUUCCAAAAGAUUUACAAAAACAAGAUAAGGGGUGCAAAUGUGGUCCAAAAUGUUAAAUAUAUCAAAACAACCAUAUAUGCUUAGAACUGCUUUCAUUUCAUAGUAAAUUAUGCACAUCCACCAAAAUGCAAACUAGUUACACUUCUACACUUUGUAUUUGCUUUGGUUUGUGUUGGCAUCAAUCACCAAAAAGGGGGAGAUUGAAAAGGAAAUGGCCUCAACAUUUCCUAUAAUCGUUUUUGGUGUUUGACGUCCAUCACAAACCACGUGGACUAACUAGUUUGCCUAGUUGAUAUUUUUCUUAGGUGCAUAAAGUUCAUAUACACAUACAAAGAAAAUGACAGUGGGGCAAUUCGACAAGUUUGGAGCAAAACAGACUUGUUGCAGCCAGUGGCGCACCGGACAGUGUCUGGUGCCCUGGCUGGAGCACUCCGGGAACUGGUCGCUCUCGAGAAUUAUUGGCGCUCGUCCACUAAUAAUCACCGGACAGUCCAGUGAACCCUCGGUGCAACGGUCGACUCCACCAACGGUCGUCUGCGGGACUGCACGCGCAGUCUGAAGCGUCAAAAGUUACAAGACAUUCUGCGAUGUCAGGUCGCAUCGGACUAUCCUGUGUGCCACCGGACUAUCUGAUACACCACGAGGACAUAAGUCAUCAAUGGUCAACAGCUCCAACGGUUGGCUGACGUGGCACGUGCCGGACAGUGAACAGUGUUGUAUCCGGUGCACCACCGGACUGUCCGGUGUGCCCAUCGAUAAAGAAGUCAGCCAAUGGCUAGAAUAGUGGUUGGGGCUAUAAAUACCCCCAACCACCACCAUUCAAUCCAUCCAAGCAUCCCACUCUCUUCAUUCAAUACAAGAACAAAGAAUACACUCCAAAGACACAUUCAAAUCUAUUUGAUCCUCUCUAACACAUUCAAAUCUAUUUGAUCCUCUCUAAGUUCCAUAAUCAAGUCAAGUGAUCAAAAGUGUUUAGUGACUUGAGAGAGGGUGAUUUGUGUUUCUUUUGUUACUCUUGUUGCUUGGUUGCUUUCUUCUUCUCCUAAUUUUUCCAAGUGUUUUGUAAAGCAAGCAAGAGACACCUAAUUGUGUGGUGAUCCUUGCGGGGUCUUAGUGACCCGUGAGAUUAAGAAGAAGCACUCAACCGGUCUAGGUGACCAAUUGAGAGAGGGAAAGGGUUGAAAUAGACCCGGCCUUUGUGGCCUCCUCAACGGGGAGUAGGUUCAUUGGAACCGAACCUCGGGAAACAAAUCACCAUGUUCACUUGUGUUGAUCUUCACCACCCGAUUUGUUUCUCCCCUCUCUUCUCUCUCUAAAGUUCUCUUGCUCAUAUUGUUUUGAGUUAGCCCCCAAAGUUAUCCACAUUGAUUGAGCAACUCAUAGCAAGAAGAACUAUCUUCGCACUCCGAAUUCACAAUUAUCUAUUUCUAACCCUAACCCCGGACGAAGUGCGUGUUCAAAGUUUAUAAUUUACAGGUUUUGCCUAUUCACCCCCUCUAGGUGACUUUCAAAUGGGAUCAUACAUUAAAUGGGGUUGGGUCUACAAAGCUAGGCACUUGAACAUUCAUUAGGGCUUUCAUCAUUAUUUUAUUUCUAAUAAAGUUCUAUCGCCUUACUCUAACCUAGAGACCCCAUUUUUUAUGAAAAUAGUGGAUGAACAUAAUUUAAAUAGAUAGAAAAUAUCAUAAUGAACAUUUUGCGAUUCGAACCAUCCAAUUUGGAGUUCAUAUGACAAAGUUAUGAAUUUUUGAACUUUUAGAAUUCAAAAACCCUAAUUUGGACACAUUUCUGUGAUUAAAAUAAAGUCCAGGGGUCUCUCUGCAAGAAACCAGGGGCUCAGGCGAAAGAAACCAGGACGACGGGCUCUAGUCUCGGGAAACCGAGGGGGUUUAAGCAAAUUGCCCGUGGCAAAGGGGUAUCGGGAUGUUUCGACCACCCGAUCAGAAGCAGACGACGAGGAUUAGAAGCGGGGCGCAUAGGAGUGGGCGCGACGAUUGAUCGGUAGGGCCCACUUGUCAGCGGCCUAGGGCAGACCCUGUGCGCGACGCGAGCACGUGCACGCUCUGAUGGGCGGGGCCCAUGGAUCAGUGACCCAGAGAGGGGGGAAGAGAGGAUGGCCGUGGGCAGGCUACCAAGCGGGGUCCACUGGUGGGGAUCGCCAUCUACCUUGGCAGCGCGCACGGCGCGUGCACCAUGGCCGGAACCAGCGACUUUGCGCGGGGCAAAAAAGGAUACAUGGCUGUGGUGGUUUGCCGGAGAGCCCUGGCAUGAUGGCGCAGUGCCGUUGGCGGUGACCACCGGCGGUUGCUCAACAGAGAAGGGAGGACAGAGGAGAGAGAAAGAGAAGUCCGGCGGGGAAAUUCACCUUGGGUGAGGCGCAGUUGGUGGCAGAGCUCCGAGCGGCGGUGGCGGUUCAAGGUUAGGAAAGGCGGAGGGGCCUUGCCAUGGAGGACCCGAGGCCAGACGGCUCGGCGGCAGAAGAGCUCCGACGAGCUUGAAUGUGGGCGAGCGCAGCUUGGGAGGGGGCGCUGGGACAAAGGAAGUGAGGCGGGGAGGGAAGUGGGUGCGUGCAGUGGCUUCAAAAGGGGUCAGAGCAGCGGUUUCGCGCAGAUGCAUGACAUGGGCACAACCACCUCAACGUGUGUGCGAGCGGUUAUAGGAGGGGAGGGGACUGUCAGAGGGUCAGCGAGUCGGCAUCGGCGUGCGCAAUGGGUAGGCGAGGGAGCGCCGACAGGUGGGGCUCAGGGAUAGAGAGCGAGAGCGAGCGCUCGGGCGAGUGGGUUGGCGCCGAUAGGCCGGUCCCAUCGGUCAAAGGGGGGGGGAGCAGGCGCGCGGCUGGAGUGGGCCGAGUGGUUGAGGGGAGGGGGAUUUCUGGGCUUCUUUUGCUUUUUCUUUUAUUCUGAAUUUCUAUUCCCUUUCCUUUUUAUUUUCUCUUUUGAAUUCAAAUCCAACCAAAUCAUAAAUUCGAAUUUGAAUAUGUCAAACAUGUGCAUCAAACAAAAAACAAAGUUUAAGCUUAGCAUGAUGCAACAUUUCAUGUCUCCCAAGGGUUUAAUCUACUAGAUUAUUAAGACAUUCCCAAAUAGAUAACCAACCCUCAACUAAAAAGAAGAGAAAAAACGAAACUAUAGAGAGGAGAAAAGAGGUAACACCUUAAUUUGGAAGGUAUUAGAGAAGAAAUUUUAUACCCCAAAUUCAGGGUGUUACACUAUUUAAGGUGGUGUUGUACUCUAUGAGCCAACAAUGUGAUAUUUACCAACAACAAAUAGUGUCAUGCAUGUGAGUUGCUAGUUGACAAAGCCUGUUGUCGAGCUGGCUAUGGGCUAUGGCUAAAGCACAUUAGGAUAGAGUAGGCCUAUUCUGUUUUUUGUUGUUUUUGGGCCAUUAUGGACUUUAUGUUGAUGUUGUGAGAAUUUUUCAUGUGUUUCCUCUUGCCUACGAAGUGGAAAGUGGGUGCGUUAGAGAAGAAAGAAAGACUGGCUAGCAUUGAUUUUACGUCAUCCCCUUGAGAAUAGUGAUCAAAAGCAGAAGCAACAAUAUUUCAUACAUAUAAAACACUUGUAAUCCAUAUAAACAACUUUCCUUCAAAAAAUAAUAUAAACCACAUGAUUUAUAUCCUAGGUCGGUUAUCUCCAUAAAGGGCAAGAAAACGCUCCUAGGUUUGUAGUAUAGAACUAAGAGUGACUCCUCUCACGAUUUCUUCUUGACAUAUGCAAACUAGACACUAAUCACAUAAAGUAAAGACAUAUGUGGUAACACGAACUUAUAGCAUGUAUUUCAACCUAUAGAUUGUUGAUUAUUAUGGUAGAUUAUAUAAUAUAGGGUUUCCCGAAGAAAUACAUAAAAACAAGAGCAUUAAAAUUUCUUUCUAGAUUUGGCUAACCAGUAAAAGGAGUUGGAGUAUCUGAGUUUUCAAAUUCGGGACGUAGUUGUAUAGAAGGAAUAUAAAUACGUUGGAAAAUAUUCUACAAGGAAAGGUUUAAUACAAGUAGGGCUAAGAAAAAAUCAAUGAGGCUUUGGUCACAUGGUCACAAAACUUGAGACAAGAAACACGAAUACACCAAGGUAAUUAGUAUGAGAGUUUUCCAAAUUUGGUGUCUUGAUGUAAAAAAAAUAAAUAUAUGACAAACAUGUUUUUUUCGCAAGGCAUGGUAAAAUAAGUGGGAGUGAGCAAUAAAUUUUAUCGUAGAUUAUGAAGGAAUAAAUAUAUCAGUAAAUACGUUUUUUCACAAUGCCAAGUUAAACAUGUGGGACAGAGAAAACAAUUCUAGCGAGGCUACGUUGUACCAACCCAAAACUAGAUACAACAGAGGAAAAAUGAAGAAAAUGAUGGUCUACCAAAUAUGGCGCAUGAAACUUAAGGUGGACUAGAGGGAAGUAGAAGAAAUAAAUAUAUAAUAGAAUAUGUUUUUCGCAAUGCAAGGUAAAGUGUAGAUGUGCUCUAACUGGGCUUAGAUUGCAGCGACACAUUAUGCAUCCACAAGGCUUGGUUGCACAUGGAAAAAGAUAGAGACAGAAAUGUAGACGCAGGACCGGGAGAAAAACAUUCAAUGAGACGUGAUUGCACGGACAUAGAACUAGAUAUAAGACAAGAGCUAAAGAAAAAUAAAGGAACUAUUUUUUUCUUUUGCACACUAAGCAUGAAUGGAGUUUCCAAAUUUGGGACGUAGCUCUAUAGAAGGAAUAUAAAUACGUUGGAAAAAAUCUACAAUGAAAGGUUUAAUACAGUAGGGCUAAGAAAAACUCAAUGAGACAAGAAACUUGAGACAAGAAACACGAAAACACCCAGGUAAUUAGUAUGAGAGUUUUCCAAAUUUGGUGUCUUGAUGUAGAAAAAAUAAAUAUAUGACAAACUUGUUUUUUGCAAGGCAUGGUAAAAUAAGUGGGAGUGAGCAAUAAAUUUCAUCAUAGAUUUAGAAGGAAUAAAUAUAUCACUAAAUACGUUUUUUUCACAAUGCCAAGUUAACCAGGCGGGACCGAGAAACAUUUCUAGCCAGGCUAGGUUGUACUAGCCCGAAACUACAUACAACAGAGGAAAAAUGAAGAAAAUGAUGGUCUACCAAAUAUGGCGCAUAAGCCUUAAGGUGCACCUAGAGGGAAGUAGAAGAAAUAAAUAUAUAAUAUGAUUUGUUUUUCGCAAUGCAAGGUAAAGUGUAGAUGUCUUCUAACUGGGCUUAGAUUGCAACGACACAUUAUGCAUCCACAAGGCUUGGUUGCACAUGGAAAAAGAUAGAGAGAGAAAAGUAGACGCAGGACCGGGAGAAAAACAUUCAAUGAGACGUGAUUGCACGGACAUAGAACUAGAUAUAAGACAAGAGUUAAAGAAAAUAAAGGAACUAAAUUUUCUUCUGCACACUAAGCAUGAAUGGAGUUGUAGUAUCUGAGAUCAAAAUUUAAUUUAUUCCAAGAUGCAGAACAAAAUGGUGAUACUAGUAUUGAUUACAUAGGAACAAAAGUAGAUAAGAAAAAUAGAAAAAAGAUAGUGGUCUACCAGAGAGGGCACAUGUGCCUCAGUUGGCCUAUAGCAUAGCGGCUCAUUAUCCUUCCACCGCUGGUGGCGGGCGAUACUCGCUCCUCUAUGAAGCUAGCCUCACGCAAUGUCCACCAAUUUAGGUGUUGGGAUGCAAAGGCUUUCACCAAGGCACCCAAAACCCACUACACAACUUGGAAUGGGUGGUCCACAGUUUGUAGCACUAGACCUAGGCACAUGCACCACAAUUGACAUCCACACUACCUUACUACCCCCGCUCAGGAUACAAGCAAUUGCUACUUGCUCAGCGAGUGAGGAUGAUCAGGACUACCUAUUUAAGGUGGUGUUGUAGUCUAUGAGCCGGCGGUGUGGUAUAUACCAACAACGAAUAGUGUCAUGCAUGUGACUUGGUAGUUGACAAAGUCUGUUGUCGAGCAAGAUGUGGGCUAUGGCUGAAGCACAUUAGGAUAUAGUAGGCCUAUUUUGUUUUUUGUUGUUUUUGGGCCACUAUGGACUUUAUGUUGAUGUUGUGAGAUUUUUUUCUUGUGUUUCCUCUUCCUACGAAGUGGAAAGUGGAUGCGUCAGAGAAGAAAGAAAGAGUGGCUAGCAUUGAUUUUACGUCAUCCCAUUGAGAACAGUAAUCAAAAGCAGAAGCAACAAUAUUUCAUACAUAUACAACACUUGUAAUCCAUAUAAACAACUUUCUUUCAAAUAUAAUAUAAACCACAUGAAUUAUAUCCUAGGUCGGAUAUCUCCACAAAGGGCAAGAAAACGCUCGUAGGUUUGUAGUAUAGAACAAAGAGUGUCUACCCUCACGAUUUCUUCACGACAUAUGCAAACUAGACAGUAAUCACAUAAAAUAAAGAAAUAUGUGUUAACACAAACUUAUAGCAUGUGUUUCAACAUAUAGAUUGUUGAUUAUUAUGGUAGAUUAUAUAAUAUAGGGGUUCCCAAAGAAAUACAUAAAAAACAAGAGCAUUAAAAUUUCCUUUUCAGAUCUGGCUAUCUAGUAAAAGGAGUUUGUGUAUCUGAGUUUCCAAAUUUGGGACGUAGCUCUAUAGAAUGAAUAUAAAUACGUUGGAAAAAAUUCUACAAGGAAAGGUUUAAUACAAGUAGGGCUAAGAAAAACUCAAUGAGGCUUUGGUCGCAUGGUCACAAAACUUGAGACAGGAAACACGAAGACACCAAGGUAAUUAGUAUGAGAGUUUUCCAAAUUUGGUGUCUUGAUGUAGAAUAUAUAUAUAUAUAUAUAUAUAUAUAUAUAUAUAUAUAUAUAUAUGACAAAAACAUUUUUCUCAAGGCAUGGAUAAAUAAGUGGGAGUGAGCAAUAAAUUUCAUCCUAGAUUUAGAAGGAAUAAAUAUAUCACUAAAUACGUUUUUUCACAAUGGCAAGUUAAUCAGGCGGGACCGAGAAACAAUUCUAGCGAGGCUAGGUUGUACUAGCCCGAAACUACAUACAACAGAGGGAAAAUGAAGAAAAUGAUUGUCUACCAAAUAUGCCGCGUGAGCCUUAAGGUGCACCUAGAGGGAAGUAGAAGAAAUAAAUAUAUAAUAGGAUAUGUUUUUCGCAAUGUAACGUAAAGUGUAGGUGUGCUCUAACUGGGCUUAGAUUGCAGCGACACAUUAUGCAUCCACAAGGCUUGGUUGCACAUGGAAAAAUAUAGAGAGAGAAAUGUAGACGCAGGACCGGGAGAAAAACAUUCAAUGAGACGUGAUUGCACGGACAUAGAACUAGAUAUAAGACAAUAGUUAAAGAAAAAUAAAGGAACUAAAUUUUCUUUUGCACACUAAGCAUGAAUGGAGUUGUAGUAUCUGAGAUCAAAAUUUAAUUUAUUCCAAUAUGCAAAACAAAAUUGUGAUACUCGUAAUGGUUACAUAGGAACAAAAGUAGAUAAGAAAAACAGCAAAAAGAUAGUGGUCUACCAGAGAGGGCACAUGUGCCUCAAUUGGCCUAUAGCAUAGGGGCUCAUUAUCCUUCCACCGCUGGUGGCGGGCGGUACUCGCUGCUCUAUGAAACCAGCCUCACGCAAUGUCCGCCACUUUAGGUGUUGGGAUGCAAAGGCUUUCGCCAAGGCACCCGAAACCCACUACAUAACUUGGAAUGGGUAGUCCACAGUUUGUAGCACUAGACCCAGGCACAUGCACCACAAUUGACAUCCACACUACCUUAUUGCCCCCGCUCGGGUUACAAGCAAUCGCUAUUUGCUCAGCGAGUGAGGGGGUUCAGGACUACCUAUUUAAGGUGGUGUUGUACUCUAUGAGCCGACGGUGUGGUAUUUACCAACAACAAAUAGUGUCAUGCAUGUGACUUGCUAGUUGACAAAGUCUGUUGUCGAGCUAGAUGUGGGCUAUGGCUGAAGCACAUUAGGAUAUAAUAUGCCUAUUUUGUUUUUUUGUUGUUUUUUGGGCCACGAUGGACAUUAUGUUGAUGUAGUGAAAUUUUUUCUUGUGUUUCCUCUUCCUACGAAGUGGAAAGUGGGUGCGUCAGAGAAGAAAGAAAGAGUGGCUAGCAUUGAUUUUACGUCAUCCCAUUGAGAUUACUAAUCAAAAGCAGAAGCAACAAUAUUUCAUGCAUAUACAACACUUGUAAUCCAUAUAAACAACUUUCCUUUAAAAUAUAAUAUAAACCACAUGAUUUAUAUCCUAGGUCGGAUAUCUCCACAAAGGGCAUGAAAACGCUCCUAGGUUUGUAGUAUAGAACUAAGAGUGUCUACUCUCACGAUUUCUUCCCGACAUAUGCAAACUAGACAGUAAUCACAUAAAAUAAAGAAAUAUGUGUUAACAUGAACUUAUAGCAUGUAUUUCAACCUAUAGAUUGUUGAUUAUUAUGGUAGAUUAUAUAAUAUAGGGGUUCCCGAAGAAAUACAUAAAAACCAAGAGCAUUAAAAUUUCCUUUUCAGAUUUGGCUAUCUGGUAAAAGGAGUUGGAGUAUCUGAGUUUCCAAAUUUGGGACGUAGCUCUAUAGAACGAAUAUAAAUACGUUGGAAAAAAUUCUACAAGGAAAGGUUUAAUACAAGUAGGGCUAAGAAAAACUCAAUGAGGCUUUGGUCGCAUGGUCACAAGACUUGAGACAAGAAACACGAAGACAACAAGGUAAUUAGUAUGAGAGUUUUCCAAAUUUGGUGUCUUGAUGUAGAAAAAAUAAAUAUAUGACAAACAUGUUUUUUGCAAGGCAUGGUAAAAUAAGUGGGAGUGAGCAAUAAAUUUUAUCAUAGAUUUAGAAGGAAUAAAUAUAUCACUAAAUACGUUUUUUCACAAUGCCAAGUUAAUCAGGCGGGACCGAGAAACAAUUGUAGUAAAGCUAGGUUGUACUAGCCCAAAACUACAUACAACAGAGGAAAAAUGAAGAAAAUGAUGGUCUACCAAAUAUGGCGCAUGAGCCUUAAGGUGCACCUAGAGGGAAGUAGAAGAAAUAAAUAUAUAAUAGGAUAUGUUUUUCGCAAAGCUAGGUGAAGUGUAGAUGUGCUCUAACUAGACUUAGAUUGCAGCGAUACAUUAUGCAUCCACAAGGCUUGGUUGCUCAUGGAAAAAGAUAGAGAGAGAAAUGUAGACGCAGGACCGGGAGAAAAACAUUCAAUGAGACGUGAUUGCACGGACAUAGAACUAGAUAUAAGACAAGAGUUAAAGAAAAAUAAAGGAACUAAAUUUUCUUCUGCACACUAAGCAUGAAUGGAGUUGUAGUAUCUGAGAUCAAAAUUUAAUUUAUUCCAAGAUGUAGAACAAAAACGUGAUACUCGUAAUGGUUACAUAGGAACAAAAGUAGAUAAGAAAAAUAGCAAAAAGAUAGUGGUCUACCAGAGAGGGCACAUGUGCCUCAAUUGGCCUAUAGCAUAGCGACUCAUUAUCCUUCCACCGCUGGUGGCGGGCGGUACUCGCUGCUCUGUGAAGCCAGCCUCACGCAAUGUCCGCCACUUUAGGUGUUGGGAUGCAAAGGCUUUCGCCAAGGCAUCCAAAACCCACUACACAACUUGGAAUGGGUGGUCCACAGUUUGUAGCACUAGACCCAGGCGCAUGCACCACAAUUGACAUCCACACUACCUUAUUGCCCCUGUUCGGGUUACAAGCAAUCGCUACU